rnacentral:lncRNA from 1 species
CAAAGAUAAUUUUACUAUAAUGGCAAAAGAACGAAGAGUACAAAAGAUGGAGAUAAAACUAAACCCUAAAAACCCGAAAACAAAGAACCCUCAAAACUUAAACACAAAAUUCUCUAAAUGUGUUAUGAGUUCUAAUAUCUAAUGGGUGUCUUUUCUAAGGUUGUAAAAGAGCCUAUUUAUAGGCUAAAUUCAUAUGUCAAAUAAUAAUAAAAUAAUCUAAACUAAUCAGUGUUUGACUGAAAUAAAUAAACAGAGUUUAACUAAAAAAUUAUUUUUCAAAAUUGACUGAAAAUAGGAGUCAUACUUAACAGAAGUCAAUUCAACCAAGCUAUCACUUUUCAAGUUUGGAAUAUCAGUCGACUUGCGAUGAAUUUUUGGAUGGGAUCCAGAUAUUUCUGGACUGAGAUAUCUGCAUAGCAUUUGAAGAGUUACCUCUUAGAUUUGAAACGCACUUUGAAUCAAUCGAUUUCAAGUCCAGGAGGUCAAGUUAUGAUCAUUUUACUGAAUACUGUGUGAGUAGAAUUUUUGGAUAGAAUUAUUACAAGAAAUUACGAGUUUCGGACUUUAAUGCAAGUUGAAAUCAUAUUGUGUUCGAUUUUUAGGCUUAAAUUUUAUUAUAUAUGAGUACAAUAUUGCAUUUAUUAAGUUUUAUUAUUUUAUUAUUUCUUUAUUCUGAAUUUUAGGAUAUUUUUAAGUAUUUAAAGUUGUUUAAGAGUUUUAUGUUUCUUAGUUAAUAAGAAAGUUUAGUUUUACUAAAACUACUCAUUGUUUAGAUUAAUUACAGUUUCAUUAUACUUGAGAGUUUUAUUUAGAUGUAAUUAUCUAGCCUAUAUAUUGGUCUUUUCAUUGUUUAUUAAAAGCAUUGAUAAAAUUGAUUCAUUCAUUAAUAAAAUUUUCAACUCUAAAAGUUAAUUUCUUUCAUGCAGGAUUCUUUUCUCGUGAUUUUUAGAAACGAUUUUUUCCUCUUGAUUUUCUUCAAGGAUUUGUGGGAAUCCAUUCUUAAUCCUUCAAUUUGCCAAAAAUUAUUUCUUUGAUAGUUGAUUAGAGCCUUUAAUUGAAUUUGUUGGGGUUUAUAUUUGAGGUCCAGUUGGACAACUAUCUUCUAUUCAUAUCCAUCGGUUUAGCAGUCAAAUAAAACUCACAUUCCUUUCCUAGGAAUCUACCUAGUGCACAGUUCUCAUUCACUUCUUUAUUUUUACCCUUUUUGAUAUUUGCUUUUAAACAAUGAGGACAUUGUUUCUCUUUUGUGGGGGGACCAGAAAUAAAAUUUUUGGCUUAUGACGAAAAUUAAUUUUUUUCCAUCAAGUUAUGUUAUAGUAAAAUAUUAUUUUAUGUAUAAAAUUUUAUUAUUUCAAUUAUUUUUAUGCUAGCUUAGUUAUGAUAAAAAAUGUUGAACUGAGUAAUUGUGUAUAAACCAUACCAUGAAAAUUUUUAAUUCCUUAGAAAAACUAAGCAAUCAUGAAAGUUUAAGUCUUUAGAAUUGACUUAGUAAUUUCCUUAAGGCGAAAUACUAAGAGGCAUGGUAAUUUGAAAAUGAUUUAGGCAAUUUUUGUUUGGACCAUUUGAGCCUUUCAAGCCAACCCUAGUAAUAAUUAUCUAUUGAAACCCUACUUUAAGCUAUAUAGCCUGAUGUUUUUUUUCUGAACCUUAUAUUAAUAAGUCAUCCUUCCUUAAAAUUUAUCUCUAUCUGUCCCAAAUCUUAGACUCAGUCCAACUAGAAUGUUUUUGUGAUUAAAUUUGGGGAGUUAGAGAGAAGUGUUUGAUUUCUCAAAAUAUUGAGUUGUAUGCUUAAAAAAGCAUUAGUGAUUGCUUAAAAAAUCUAGUUAUUGAAAAAAAAAUAUGUACAGAGAACAUGUGUACUCAAACUCAAAAGAGUUGGUGUUCUUGGGGAUAAUUGUAUUUGGAAGGUUUGAGGUACACUGAGUCUAAGAUUUUAGUCUAAAAAUGAUCUAUCAUUUUCCUACCUUGACCCAAGUCAUAUUACAACCAUAUUAAAGACCUAUUGAUUAAACUUUAGGAUUACUACUGAGUUCAACCAAGGGAAAUAAAUUUUGUUUGGGAAGUACUAAGCACAUAUUUGUUAAGGGAUGGUAUUUAGUACAUAGUUUUGUUAGUAUAUUAAUCUUUGAAAAUAAUUGAGUGAUAUAGGCACUCAAGUUGCAUGUUUAGAAAUUUUUUAUUCUUCAGCAUAAUUUUGCUAAACACAUAACUAUAGGAAUGAUUGAUUUCGUUUGAAGGGAUUUUUGCAAAAGUGGCUCUUUGGUUUCUAAUGUAAGUUAGCAUAUAUCACCACUUGGGAUGAGCAAUGAAUUAAGUUUGGGGGUAUGAUAACUCAAAAUUAUAUAGACAUUUACAACACCUUCUGACUAUUAAUUCAUGCAAAUUCUGAGUAUUUUGAUAGCAAAUUUUGUAUUUUUUCAUUAAAAAUUUGUAAAGUAGAACAAAAUUAAAGAUAAAUUUGUAAUGUUAUUUAUUUCCAUGCUAAUUUUACAUAUUUUUUUUCCAGUUUGGCGCAGUUUGGUGCAAUAGAAGAAAAGUUAAUCUUGAAGCUCACCUAUUCGAUGCUUGAUGAUGUAACAUUCCUGCAGUAGAGGCCAUGCAAACGUGGGUUGAUGGCUAAACAACAUGAGACAUCCUAAAUUCUUUUAUUGGACCUUUAAAUUCAAUUUGAUCCAGCUCCCAAAUGGUUCACAAAAAUGGACAAGCUUGCUACCAAAUAUGAAGCCCAAAUCAUCCACUAAGGGAGGAAAAAGCCUAAUUCAACCAAGGGAAGUCCAACCGUCCAUAAAAGUAUUUAACUUUGCCUCCCAAGACUUGGUAAAAUAUCACAGAUCAGUCACAACAAAUUUCCCAUGAUCGUUCAACUCCCAUCCCUAUUUUAAGGUGCCUUCCCAUGAAUCAAGUAAGAAGUAGCUAAAUUUAGCAAAGUCAUUCACCUUCCUUCCUUAACACAAGGGGUCGACCAUUUGUGAGAGAAAUGAGGGGGAUUAUAAUUCUAAAAAUAGAAAACUCAAGAGUUGUAAGGAGUAUUUAGAAGUUCUUGUGAGUAGCAAAAAUUCAGCAUUUAUAAGGCAUUUGUGUGAAGGAACAAAGCAAAAAGAAUGAGGAAAAGCAAAUAAAAGUUGUGCAGCGGAGAAACAUCGCAUUUGUCUCCUAGUUCCUUUUUCUUAAUUCUUUUGAUUUUGUUCUAAACUUAUGAACAUGAUUGCUAAAUAUAUUUCUGCUUUUUAUUUCAUUAAAAUGGCUUAAUUUUGUUUAUGUUAGAUUGAUUGCAUUUUUUUAGCUUAGAUUAUUAGAAUUUUAUUAAUGAUGUUAUGUGCCUUGGUUGCUUAUUCAUUCAAAUAAAAUCAUGAACAUGUUAUUCGUGCAUUAUAAAUAUUGGGAUGCAAUUGAAUUAAUUAUUAAAUCAGAACCAAAUUGUAAUUAAUUGACACAGUAUCUGAAUGGUGCAUGUUUGACCAUUUUAUGAUGAAAUUAGGUCAAAUUAGUAAUAAUAUCAAAAGAACUUUAUUACCUUGCAUAACCCUAAGAUUAAUGUGAUUAAACUAUUUCGGUAUAGAAAUAUUACCAUUACUUCACAUAAUAUGAUUUCUACUUAUUAAAAUACUAAGUUGAUUGAACAUAGACAUAUGCUAGAAAAACUUAAUUAUUUAAUAAGUGUAAUUUCUUAGACGAUACCUAGAAAGGUAAUCUUGAAGUUAGACUUGACAUAGAAAUAUGCAUGGAGACUAAAAGGUCAAGCUUAAGUCUUCGAGAGAAGCCAAGCAUUCGUAAAUAAUAACAAGCUUAAGUCUUUGAGUUUAUUUAGGAUCAUUCAUCUCAUGAAAUUGUGUGAUAAUGUGUGGUAUUGAUUUGGUAUAUAAAAUAUUUGUAUAGAUCAAGAAUUAGACCAAAGUGGAGUAAAUAAAGGAAAAGCAUAAUGUAACACCCCUAACCCGUAUCCGUCACCGGAUUAGGGUUACGAGGUAUUACCAGUCAUAUUACAGUUCAUACAGAUAAUCAUUACAUUUCACAACUCGAAAUUCAAUCACAUCAAUGCUCGUAACUUAAUCAAAUAUCGAGUCUUGAAAUCAGAACAAUCAUAACAUUGCAUAAUUAAAACAUAUUCAUAUCAUCUAUAUAACCACAUAUUCGAAUUAUCUAAUGUGCAACAAAGCCAAGUUACAUGUACUUAAUACAUAUAAAUGUUCGAACCACAUGACUCUAAUAUUAAUGGCAUUUGUAUACUUAAAACAUAUCCUAGCAUAUAUCAUUACAUUUCAUACAUCGAAUAUAUGUCACUAUAUCUAUUUCAUUAGUUGAAUAUCAAACAUAUCAUUUCAUAACUUCUGCACAAGCACAUAAUAAAACCAUUCGAACCAUAUUACAUUAAUUAUUAUGCAAUCACAUAUGCGACUUUAGUAAUAUUACAAUAGGGCCAAACAUACUUUUGAUGCAUAUAUAUAUAGUGCGCAUUUCACCCUAAAAACAAAAGCCACAUUUAACAUUUGAACAAAAAUAACAUUCCAAUGUACACCUAAUUCGCAUAUAUAUAUAUAUAUAUUAGUAACCCUAACUUCAUAUUUCAUCCUAUUAACUAAUCAUUGAUUCAGUCACACCAUUAUCAAGAUCAUAUGCUUAUCAAAAUGAACCAAAUAUCGUUACCGAAUUUACAACCACACAUGUACGCGUACCUAUAUUAAUAUUAACAUCAACUUGACACUUUUAACUAUCCAUUAAAAGCUAACCAAAACAUACCUAAAUCAUAACCAUCAUUUACCAUUUGGAUCCGUACCAAAACAAUCAACCAAAAAAAUCAUGAAACAUAUUCAUUACUUGUCAUUUAGCAACCAAACCUAUAUAGCCAAUAUACAUUCAAAUACAUAUUCAUCAUAUUACCUCAUUACUAAGCCAAAUUAAACAAUCAUCCACCACCCAAAUUAUUCCACAUUCCAUACUUCCAAAAUAAGCUAAUUAUUAAGCUGAUUAUACAUCAUACUUACCAUUUCUCAUUGCCAAAUCAUAUAACCAACAUCACAAACUUAUAUACCAAGAAACAUACUUCCAAAAUAAGUUUAAGUCAUAGCCACAUACACACAAGCUUUAACAUUAUAAUCAAGCCAUGUUCACAUAGCUAUCUAUAUACAAAUUUCAAAGCCAAACAUAUAAAAACCAGCCUAUACAUGCCAUAUGUUUAUAGUUUCAAACUUCAAAAGUACCGAGUAAUAUUCGAUAGUGUGACGAUGAUCCUAGACGAUCCCCAAGCUCGUAGCUAGCUUUCAAAAUCUAUAAAACAACAGACAAACACACAAAGUAAGCUUGGAAAGCUUAGUAAGUCAUAAGCAAAUAAAUUAUCAAAUGAACAUUAGCAUGAUUAUUUCAACAUGGUCGAAUAUGAACAAUCUCAUGUACAUAAUGGUCAGACCUUUGACAUGUAUAAUUCAUAUCAUCAUCUCAAGUACUAUACUUACCUUAUUUUCAUGGACAUUUAACUUCGAACGUACCUGAACCAUUUAGUUCAAUUUCACAUUCGAUCUUAACUCAACAUUGCCCGUUAAACCAUUCGAAAUCAAUAAGGAUACUCGAAUAGCUCGAAAAGCUCGUACACUACCAAUGUCCCAGACGAGGUCUUACAUGUAAUCAAAUGUCGAUGCCACUGUUGCAGACAGGGUCUUACACAAAAUCAUAUAUGAUGCCAAUGUCCCAGACAUGGUCUUACACUUAAAUCUCAAAUUGAUGCCAACGUCCCAAACAUGGUCUUACAAGAAAUCACAUAUCGGAAUCCUAUGUCAUGACAUAUGUAUCCUAACUAUUCCUAUGGUUCGUACUGGGCUUUCGGACGUCAUAAUUCGAUCGAUUCAAACUCGUAACUAGUUCUCCAAUGCUUAAUUCAAUUUGGCAUAUACACAUAAAUUUAUUAUAAUUCAAUUUUGGCACAUAUAAUACAUAUACAUUCGAAUUUAACAACAUUUAUUUACUUAUGAACUUACCUCGUACGGAGACGAAUGGACCAGAACGACUAUUCGACAACUUUUGAUUUUCCCCGAUCCAAUUUCGUUUUCCUCUUUUCUUGAUCUAAAUUAAUACAAAUUUAACUCUUUUAUUCACCAUUCAAUUUAAUCCACAUAAUCAUAUUUAAGGCAUUUUACAAAGUAUCCUUUAUAUUUUCACAUUUUGACAUUUAAGUCCCUAAUUCACAAAAUUACAAAAUACACAUAAUUUCAUUUUACACAUGCUAGGUCGAAUGUUUAUACACUUCAUAUAUGCCCAUAUAUUUCCUUUAUUUCACAUUUUAACCCCUCUAUUUCUCAUUUUCACAUUUUAGCCCAAAAUACUCAAAUUCAUCAAAAAUCCAAACACAAAACAUAUUAAUCUCAUACCAAGCUUUCAUAAUUCAUCAAUUAACAUCAUUAAACUCACAAAAUCAUCAAUGGCACAACUCAAAAUCAUUAUCAAAUUCUGAAAUUGAGGCAUGGGCUUAAGAAAACACAUUGCAACGAUCACAAAAAUGUUUUAAUUGUCAAAAACCGAAACAAAAACAUACCUUGAUUAAGCUUGGAUAAGGCCGAAUAGAAGAAAGAUUUAAAACCCUUAUUUUCUUUCUAAUUUUGGUGGAAGAACACUUGAAAAUGAUCAACAUUUUGGCCUUAUUCACUUUAUUUAUUUUGAUUUAAAGAAUUACUAAUUUAACCUUAAUGAAAUAUUAAUAUAAAACACUUGAAUCAUGGACAUAAAUGUCCACUAGCCUUAUAAUGGCAUAUUAACCUUUUAAGGACUUCCCAUAAAUCAAAUCAUAACAAAUUAACAUAUUUACAAUGAGAAUGUCACUUCUACUUUUUAUGGGUUUAGCCCUUUUUUGCAAAUUAAGCAUACAAACGGAUAUAUUAAAUCACGAAAAUUUUACACAUGUCAAUUCACAUACAAUAAGCAUAGAAAAUAAUAUUAAAAUAUUUUUUGACUCGGAUUUGUGGUCUCAAAACCACUAUUUCGAUUUGGCUAAAACCGAGUUGCUACACAUAAAUUGUGGAUUAGUCCCUGACAAAUCCACCUGUAUUGUGUUUUGAAAAGGUAAGUUCAUAUCGAACUUACUACUCUUCUUUAGGUUAUAUGUAUGCUUGUGUUUAUUCCAUUAUAACUAUGUUCGAACAUAACUUUAAAUGUUGAUUAAGUUGGCAUACAUGGCUAGAAAAUGAAAUGGAAUUGAAUUGAAUAAAAAUGAAUUAAGAUUGAUGAUUGAUAUGACAUGGUACAUGGUAUGAUAUGUAAAUAUGGAAAAUUAUAGGGUAUGAACAUGUGAGCAUGAAUGAUUACAGGGUAUGAUAAUGCAAAUAUGUAUAAUUGAUGCCCAUGUGAACUUAGUAAAAGGUUAGGAUAUGAUUGGCAUGUCAAUAAGGUCAUUUGCACGCUUGUACGGGAUAUGUGAUGAUACGGAGAUUAUGACAGGAUAUAUCGAGACUUGCAUUUGUUAUGGAUCAUCGAGCAUUAUUUGUCCCUACAGAGACUUUGAUGUGGUAGAGGGAAUUAAUUGAAAAUGUUUAUACAUUUGAUUCCUACGGGCUUUGGAUUUUGGUGCCUUGGUGUGGUAUAGUUAAGCUCUUACAAGCUAUCUGACGUGGUGUAGUUCACUCGUGUAUCCGAGUCUAUUUUUCUAGGGUUCCAUUGGGAAAAAUGUUGAAAAUGGAUCUUGAAAUAUAAAAAAAUGAACCAAUUUAAUGUGUUAUUAUGAUUCGUGAUUCAAAUUGAAAUGGCUUGAUCUUGUAAAUUGAUAAUGUAAUAUGAAAUGGUAAUGAUCUUAAUGAAAGUAGAGAAAUUGGUGAUAAACCUAUGUGAAAUGGUGAAAAUUGGUAAUGUUUGUGUUACUUUUAUCAUGUUUAAUGCAUAUUAAUACUCAUGAUUUUUGUGUAUACCUUGUUGUGACCUAGAGUGUCAUCUGCUAGCUAAAUGUAUGUAAUGGCCCAAAUUCAAGGUUAUCGGAAUAGUAGUAUUGUAACCACAAAUUUGAUUUAAAGAGAAAUUUAUUUUAAUAUUUUUGUAUGAAUAUUGAUAUGAUAGGAAAAUCGUAUGAAAAUAUAGAUAGAAGAAUUUUACCAAUUUAGUGGUUAGUUAGAAAAAGAAAUUACUGAAGAAAUUGGGUAAAAACAAGGUAUCGAGACCUCGAUCUCGUAAAAUCGAGUCAAAAAUAUUUUUAUAAAUAUUUAUGAAGUGUUAGUAAUAUGGUAUUAAAAUUUCGUUAGAAAAUUUUAAUGUUUGGGUAGUCAAUUAAGUGAAAAGGGCUAAAUUGAAAAAGGUGUAAAAGUUACUAGAAGGAUUAAAUAGCUCAAUUGUUAAAUGAGGAGGGACAUAAAUUGCAAAUAAGCCCAAAAGAAGAUAUUUUGGGCGGCAUACGCUGAGAAAAAUCAGGAAUAUUGAAGAAUUAAGGGUAAAAUUGGAAUAUUGCAAAAUUUACUUUAAAAGUUAGGACUAAAGUGGAAUAUCUAGAAUUCUCUUUAUUUUUCUGCAUUCUCAUCAGCCAAAAAACGUCCUAAGGGUUUCUUUAAGCUAUUUUUUCAUAAUUUUUGCACCAAGUGAGUUAAUCAUUGCCUUUUUCUUGUAAUUUUUGUGUUUCUAAGACUUUUACAACUAGGUCCUAUUACUAAAUUUAUUAGUUUUUGAUUUUAUGAAUGAAUUUGAAAGUUGCUAUGAAUAUGUGCUGGAAUUUCAUGAUGAAAUAGGAUGAAAUUGAAGCUUUAAUUUGUUUAUAAGAUGAUUUUAUUAGGUAAUUUCAAUAGAAAUUGAUUUGUAGGACUUAAUUGUAAAAAAGUUUCGAAUUAAAGUCUAGUGCUAAAAUUCUGAUUUCCAAAGGUUAUAAAGUAGUUUAAAGUGAUAGAAUAAAGUGUUGGUUGAGAAAAAUCAGCUCAAUUGAGAGGUUAAUUGAGCAGGGAUGGAAUUAUCAUUUAUUGAAAGCUUAGGGAAAGAAUGGUAAUUAACAUUAUGCACUAAAACAGUUUUGGACAGCAGCAGUAGUCUAACUUUAAAAAAUCACCAAAAAUUGUAUAGAUCGAAUUAAAGGAUGAAUAAAAUAUGAAAGUAAAUCUUAUUUAGUCUAGUUUCUUAUAAAAGAAACGGUGUAAGCAAUGGAAUUGUAAAUCAUGAGAUAUAAUAGAUUUUGUGAGACAAGGUCAGAAUGAAUUCGGGUUCCCCUGUUCUGACUUUGGAAAAUCAUUAAAAAUUGUAAAAAAAAUGAUUAUGAGUUAUAAUUUAUAUGGUUAUAAUCCUUAAUGAGUAUAUUUUUAGAAGAAACAAAUGGAAACAUCAUCCGAAUUCUGUACAAUGAGAUAAUUAAUUUUUAGUGAAGAGAGGUCGAAACUGUUGAACAGUGAAACAGGAGAAAUUUUAAAGAAUAAAAUGUACUUAUUGGCUAAACCAAAAAUUCUGAAAAUUUUAUGGUAAGAAUAUUUGUGAGUCUAGUUUCGGGAAAAAUUAUCGGAUCUUAAUUUGGAGUUCUGUAGCUCAAGAUAUAAAUAAUUUAGUGACUGUGACUCAGUGAGACAGCUUUGAAUGCACUAUAAAUAAUAAUGGAAUUAUAGAGAAUGUUACAUAUGAACAUGAAAAGUAUUAGAUUAAUGAUUAAAUUUAUUUAUUUAGAUCCGAAAAAUUCAAAUAGGAAGCAAGAUCGAGGAAAAGAAAAAGUUUGGGAUUAGUAGAUUUUUGGUUACGAACAAGUGACGAGGUAAGUUCGUGUAACUUGAAUUAUAUUCUUAAAUGCUUGAAAUAUAUUUUUCUUGAUGUGAAUAUGAUUUAGAUGUUUAUUGUAUGAUAAUUGAUGAAGUAUUGAUAUUCUUGAUGAAAAGGGAAAAUAAAUCUCAGUUGAAUGAAAGGAAAAUUCGAUGGAUCUCUGAAAAGGAAUUGAUGGUAAAAAGGAUCUAGCCCGGACGGGUGAUCCUAUCCUGAUAUAGCCCUCCCGAAGAAUAUGUGGAAAAUGGAUUUAGCCCGGACGGGUAAUCCGAAUUAGGGUCUGAAUUUAGCCUGGACUGGUAAUUCAGAUCCAAACUCAUUAGAGUAAUUGUCGCUGCAGGGGAUUUAGCCUGGACUGGUAAUCCCGACAAUACUCUAUGAGUUUAUAUUACAGGGGAUUUAGCCUGGACUGGUAAUCCCGCUGUAAGGAUGAGGUUCGCGGGAGUGUGCUAUCUGAAAUAGAAAUGUGAGUACAUGAAUAUGAAUUAACGGACCCGGAUUUGUACACUAAAGUGUACCUCUGAAAAUCCAUCGAAAUUUCGAGAAAUUCAACGGGAUAAAUAUGGAAAAUAAAAAGGGAAUGGAAAAUAUGGGAAUUGAUAAGCUCAUCAAUCAUUUGUCUUUGUAAUGAAUUUAUAUGAUGUUUACUUAACUAAUGCAAAAGUUGAGUUUGUAUGUGAUAGGUAUAUGUUUAUGUGAAUUGGAUGUGUGCUUGUGCUAUUAAAUGAUAGGUGUAUAAUAUGGUAAGUAUAAUUCUUGUUGCAUGAACUUACUAAGCACAAUGUGCUUACCCCGUUCUCUUUUUUCCCUAUUUUGUAGUGCCCGGGAGCUCGAAGGUUGGAGAUUAGUCGGAGCUUUAUCACACUAUCAACCCAUAUCUUUUGGUAUUUGAAAAUGACUUAUUUUGAAAGAAUGGCAUGUAUAGACUAAAUACCAAUAUUACAUAGAAAUGAAUGUUUGUAACUUAGCUGUUGGUAUGGCUAGAGUAAGUAUAACUUUGAAAUUUUGCGAAAAAUUUCUUAUGGCUUCGAUUUAAUAUCAGUUUAGUCCCGAUGUAUGUUUUGGGCUUCGGAGGCCCAUCCAAGGGACGUCAUGACAUGAUUCGAUAAAUGAAUAGUAAUUAAACUCGUAAUAACAGAAAAAUUAAUUCAGUAAAAUCUGGUAAUGCCUCGUAUCCUAUUCCGGCGACGGAAACGGGUAGGGGGUAUUACAAUGUAUGCCUAACUUUUGGUUAUAUCAUGCUCACCUAUGAGCAAGGUAAGUGUUUUAAUUCCAUUUGAACUUAUUAAGCAUUUAAAUGCUCACUCUAGUUGUUUCUCCUACUUGUAGAUCAUCACAACUUGCAAAACUCUCAAAGCCGAAUCUUUACGAAUGUCACACUAUCAUUGAAAUGAUAGAAAUAUGUUUAUUUUGGUUCCUAAAGUUGAGUUAUGUAUAUAGGAUCAUUGUGUUUUGUAAUGGUCAUCCUUAAUUAUGAUUGCUUAUGUUAUGUUAUGUUAAUGGCCAAGACUAUGUUGUUUGCUAAGUUUAUAUAUGGUCUAAUAUAAGUCUAAUGUGAUCAUAUCAAUGCCUUUUGAAUCCUCAAUUUUUAAAGCUUACAUGGACCUUAUAUGUUUGAACUUCGAAAUAUGGCAAUUUGAUAGAUUAAGAUUGGUGAAUGGCUUGAAUGAGUUAGGUUUUGAUCAUGUGUUUGGUGCCAAUUGAUAGGGAUUCUAAAUGUGUUAUAAACUCAGCUUGGUAUGGUUUGGGAUAAUUUGAUGCAUAGAUGAAAUUGGUAUAGGCAUGUGUUUGUAAGAAAAAAAAAUGUGUUUGAUUGAAAGUAUUAAAUGUGUGCCAAAGUGAUUCUUGCCAAAACAGUGGUGACGUUGCGACUACAAGUCCCCAACGUCGUGACAUGGAUCGACAGCGAGUGACGUUGCAACGUUGAGAUGUUUGAAGUCAUAACAUAACUCAUUGAUUAAUGAUGUCGCAAUGUCAACUUGCAAAUUUUGAAAACUUUACAAUUUAGUCAUUAAUCGACCUUGAAUUAGUGAAAGGUCACAAUGUCAACUUGCAAAUUUUGAAAACUUUACAAUUUAGUCAUUAAUCGACCUUGAAUUAUUAAAAGACCUUUCAUAAGCUCGUAUAAGAACAUAAAAUGUUUUUGUAUCAUAUUGAAAAUGUGUUUUAUACUAAUGAGCAUGCUAAAAUGAUUGAAUUGUAUUGAAGCUUGUUGUAGUUGCUUUGGUUACAAAUGUAGCAUCCCGUAACUCGGACUCGACGAUAGGGUCAGGAAAGGGGUGUUACAAGGAGUCUACUGAUGGAGGAAAAACUUCUACUUUUUACCAACCUCCUCAUAGCACCGUUCACCUGCUGAAGGCGAAUAUGAAAAGGGUUGAUUUUCUGAGCACUAUUACUUUAGUUUGAUCAAGACUUUAGCCCUCUUUUGUAACCAAAAAAAAUGAAAAAGAAAAAAAAUCAUUGGAGAUGGUUGGUUUUAAGACCCUUAAUAAGGCAAUUAAAUAAUUAGGUUUGUUUGGAUAAUUAAAUGAAAAGAAAAAUAAAUGUGAAAUUAAAAAAAGAUAUCAAGAGGAAAUGUCUUCUUUAUCGUCAUGAAAAAAAAAACAAAGAAAUAUCAAGAGGAGACAUGGGUUUGAAUCUUGGAAAUGAUAUUGUUGAGAGGGAUAAUCAUGAACUUGGAUCAUAAAACAAAUAUGAACAUACUUAAAAAAAAAUCCAUUUUUUUAGAACUAUUUUAAUUUGAAAAGGGUAUUUUUUUUAAAAAAAUAAUUUUUCAAUAAUAAUUUUUUUGUAACUUUGAACAACUUUUGCAACAUUUUACAUUUUUAUAUUAUUAUCAAUCGUAUUUAAAAUGAAAUUGGACAAAUGAUUGUCCUCAAAUUAAUGAACCACCACUUGUGUAAGUUCAUUCUUUAUUUUAUUAAUUUUUGAAGAUUUCUUUAAAAAAUUAAAUUUUAUAAUUUUUUUUGUUUGGUCAACAACCACAUUAUCAAUCAAUGCUUAACACAUGGCAUGUUCUCAUUAGCUGAGUGGACCACCUUUCACACCAUUAACUUUUGGGGCCAAAUACUAUAAUAAAGCAAUAGUUUAAGUAAUGAGAUAGAAUAAAAGUUCAAAUACUUAAGUGAGAAAAAGUGUAUAGUAAACUUGAAUAAAGCAUAAAUAUUAUGAAAUUUAAAAUUGAUUCGUCUAAAUGAAUAGGACUUUUUUUUUUUAAGUUAGGAUUAAUCUUACGUGUAAAUUUAGAUUAAGUUAAAAUAUGUUAUAGGUUCUUGUACUCUUUACAAAUUUGGAAGAAAUUUAGGUUUUUUAAAUUUUAAAUUUCAAAAUCCAAAUUCAAUUUGUUAAAUUUAUCAAUGCGACAUUUUGAAAUAAUAAUAAAAACUCACUUAAUAGUAAUAUAAUUAAUAUUUAAUAUUUAAUAUUUAAUAUUUAAUAAACUUGAAUUUAAUAAAAUAAUUUUAAUAGUAUUAAUAGGUAGAUCUAAAUUUUGAAAAUAAAUAAAUAAAUAAAAUUUUAAAAAUAAAAAUAAAAAAAUUACAAAAAGAUACAGACCUUAGGUUGGUGUAACCCCAGGAACUGGUUUGGGAUGCAAGUAAGGUUGUCUCUAGAACUUCCCACAAAGAAACAGCUCGUUUCAAUGGGACAGCCACCGCCAGGAACCUGCAUUUAUUAAACCCCAUUAUUAUGGGAAACGAGACACUAAUUUCUUUAUGGACCAAUGAAUGCAGUUGUUGUUUUCAGAAUUUAUUAAGCAAGUCCCUCCACACACACACACACACAAAAAUCUCCAUUUUCCUUUUCAAAGAGGAAAAAGUAGAGAUAUAGCAGUGGUGCGUGUCACAAAUGACUCGUGAUUCUCAAUCCAAUAGCGAAAUGGUCUUCAAUGCUGUGUUGUUUAUAUUAGAGAAAGACUACAAGCAACUUAAUUAGUCUCAAACUCCAACCUAACUAACUAAAUUUCUAUUUGUUUAUACCAAAGGUGUUAGCAAUCAUGCAUUUGGCUCCUAGUUUCUCAUUACAUUUAAUUCACACCCGACAAAAAAUUCUUAAUUUCAAUCUCCACAAAACAAAAGAGAUAAAUUCCCAAGAACGUGUAUGCAUGGAGUUUUGUGUGUUUUAUGCUGUGAAAAAUAAAUGCUGUCACCUAACUGAAACCCACCAAAUUUAAAGAGCAAAGGGAGUCCCAAGUCGAAAAUCGAAUAUUUUAAUGCAUGCCCAUUAAAGCUCCAAACAAUCACCUUUUAGUUCCACAACACGUAACCAAAAGUAUCUAUACUUAUUCGGGUUUUAUUUAUUUACUUUAAAAAGAAAAACAUUAAACUUCAUUAGCAAUUCCUAAACUGAGGGUAAGCUCUUAAAAUAUCUUAUAGUUUAAGCUCACUUUAAUUUCCAUCUCCUAAUAAGUACAUUAUCAAUCUACCAACUCCAAAUUAAAACCAUUUAUCUACACUUUAAGAAAUAUUGCUUCUCUCCCAUCAUUAUCAUUGAUAUACUAAAUAUAUCAAGGAAUAUGCCAAGUCUCGUUGAUCCAAGCCAAUCACGCACCAUACCCAAAACUUUGUUUUCAUGUCCAAUGGCUUCAAGACAAAUGCCCUCUCACCAACUCUCAGCAAUUAAAACUCUCAACAAACUUCAUCUGCCUCAGCCUAUUAAAGGGUUGUAAAUGUUAGUAUUCAAACUACUGGAUACCACAUUGUAGGAGUGGUCUUCCCAUCAUUAAAAUCAUUCACACCAGCUUUACCAAUCACCUAUUUGCUAUUUAUGAUACAAACCAGGAAAGUUGGAAUGAAACUGAAAUAUGGCAUGUAAGCUUGUUAUACUGUUCUUCUUUGUUAAUCUCCUAAUGCAAAUACCAAAAGUAAGGGCAACAGUUCCUGCAAUUAUCGUUUUCGGAGAUUCUACGGUGGAUCCAGGGAACAACAACCAAGUAUCUACAGUUCUAAAGAGCAACUUCGAGCCAUAUGGCAGGGAUUACUAUGGUGGUCAGCCAACAGGACGUUUUUCUAAUGGAAGGAUUGCAACAGACUUCAUUUCUGAAGCCCUCAGGAUCAAGCCAGCCAUACCUGCAUAUCUGGACCCGAAGUAUGACAUAGAAGAUUUCGCUACCGGAGUUUCCUUUGCUUCAGCCGGGACUGGUUAUGACAAUGCUACUUCUGAUGUGCUAGUAAGUCGAGCUACAGAUUGGUGAUAAGUUAACCGUCUUACCAUGUGAAACAGAAGUCAUGCAGUGAGUUGUAAAUUUUUGUUUGCAUCAGGUUUUCCAUGAAUGUUGUUAAAUUCCAUUUUGAUUCUUGCCUGCAACAAAUGACAAAAGAUUUCAGUUUCAACAUGUUCUUUUAAUCUAGUUCAGUACAUUUAAUCAACUAUAGACAACAGGUCAUCAAUUACAACUUACAAAAGCCAUUUUCUUGAAUUUGCAGUCUGUCAUACCAUUUUGGAAGGAACUGGAGUACUACAAAGAAUAUCAGAACAAGCUAAGAAAACAUCUAGGCAAAGAUGAAGCUAAUCAACGUUUUUCUGAAUCAUUGCACCUAAUAAGCAUAGGAACCAAUGACUUUUUAGAGAACUACUACAUUUUUCCUACCAGAUCUUCGGAGUAUUCAGUUGACGAGUAUCAGAGCUUUCUGAUAGGAAUUGCCAGCAAUUUCAUCAGAGAGCUUUACAAGCUCGGAGCUCGGAAGGUAGUCAUUGGCGGCCUUCCUCCAAUGGGAUGCUUACCAUUGGAAAGAACAACAAAUAUGUUCUUUGGAAGUGACUGUAUCGAUGAGUAUAAUGAUGUGGCUAAAGAUUUCAACAAGAAGUUACGGGGUGCAGUCACAGAGUUGAAACAGGAGCUUGGUGGAAUCCAUCUGGUUAUGUCAAGCCCCUACGAUAAGCUCAUGGAAAUGAUUCGGAAUCCAAGUCACUUUGGUAAGUCAUUAUCGAUAGUUUACAAAAGUUAAACUACUGUUACUAAGGUCAUAUAUAAAGAAAAAGAAUACCUAGAAUAAGAGCACAUCCACUACUUGAAUCCAAUCACCUAACUUGUCCAAACGGUUAACUACUGUUUUAUGCCAUCCACAUGGGUCAGAUAUUAUGUACAAAACUAGUCUAGUAAAAUUAACCAUGUUGAACCCCGUAAAUAGCGCAGUUACUUCAUUCAGCUUCCCUUAAACGGUAGCAUAUAUCAAAUCUUGUUUGGAAUCCUAGCAUCUACAAGCCUUUCCUUAUCCCUGAUUAUGGCUUCCUUCGUACCCAAGAUAUUCAGUAAUAUAAAUGAUUUUGCAUGCGUUUUAUUAGAGACAUUGCUUACCUCUACGGCCAUGAGAUGAUCCUUUGACUUCAAGCAUGAAUGGACUAAGACAUAGAAGGCCGAUAUACAAAAACACAAUCAUGGAUACAAGUAUAUGAAACCAGACAGAAACUAGGUACUUUCAUGCCCCCCAUGUUGUCACUUGCCUUGAGCAAGCCUCAAGAACUCAUUCACUAGUUUCAUCCAAUGAACUUUUUUGUUUAAAACAUGCAUAAAACCAUGCAAUAUCAUACCACCUAAUAAUGAAGAGCCAUAACACCAUAAAAACAAACCUUUUCAGGCAAAGCAAAGCAAUCUCUGUGUGUGUGUGUGUGUGUGUUUGGAUGUGUUCUUGAACCUAUGUGCGCACAGUAUGAAUGCAGAUGUAAUUAGGCAAGUGUUUUAACAUACUUCUCCUCUUAUGGUAAAUUUCUUAUAAAUUUUCUACAUUACAGGAUUUGAAGAUGCAGAAACAGCAUGCUGUGGGACUGGAUUCUUCGAGAUGAGUUACCUGUGUGAUAACAUGAACCCAUUUACAUGUUCAGAUGCCAAUAAGUAUGUAUUCUGGGACGCCUUCCACCCGACAGAGAAAACAAAUGCCAUUUUGGCUGAUUAUGUGGUCAAAACUACCCUAGCCGAGUUCCAAUAAUUACUAAAAGUAAAAGAAAGCAGCACUGCUUCAUUGUUGUAGAUGCCAAUAAGUAUGUAUUCUGGGAUGCCUUCCACCCGACAGAGAAAACAAAUGCCAUUUUGGCUGAUUAUGUGGUCAAAACUACCCUAGCCGAGUUCCAAUAAUUACUAAAAGUAAAAGAAAGCAGCACUGCUUCAUUGUUGUAGAACUAGUAUUAGUAGGCAUUAUAUUUACUAUUGCCUUUUCAACUACAUCCAAUGAAGGAAAAUAUAGAAAACAAUAAGUCAACUGGAUGAAUGCAUGUUAGAUGAGAAAACAUAAGAACAAGUUCAAACUUCAAAUCAAGCAAGUUAUCCCCCCCCCCAAGAGAAAACAGCUAUUUCUGUUGUGAUCUAAGAGGUUCUGCAAUUUUUUUUAUUUUGGAAGAGUGGUUUUGCAAAAUAAUUGCAAGAAAGAACCAUUCAAUAUUUCAAAAUCUAAUAGACGAUAUUGCUGUAAGAAGAGAAAACAGUUAGAUUCAGAAAAGCUUCCUAAGAGAUCCCACCAUAGAAAUGGACAUUGUCUACUCGAAUAAGAUUAACAAAUAAAAUUGUUCUUCAUUAUAAACUAAGAUCCUUCAAAGAAAAGGUUUCGUUGAGAGGGAAAGCCUAAAUUUUAAUAAGAAAUUUGCUCCAAACUAUCAAAUAUCAGCAUAUACAAAUAAUAAUAAUAAUAAUAAUAAACUGAUUUAAAAGAACAUGAAGCAGCUAGAGAUCUUCAAUGACAAGAUAUGGGAGACACUCGGUGCAGCACAACUUGAAUCCUUCGGCUUAUUUUGGCACUUUAGGAAAAUGCAGUUUGAUAAGUGCAGGAAGUUCAGCCAGCUCAACUUGAGGCUUGCCCAAUAAAAUACUCCUCAAUUUCUCAUCACAAUUGACAAGAUUCUUGUUGUUUGGAUCCUAAUCAAGAAAAAGUGACAUGCUGAGAGAUCUUUGGGUAAAUUUGUGUAUAUACCAGGGCAUCAAGACUAAAAGUUCAAAAUCAAUCUAUGAGUAUAAGGUUCAAAGAGUAGAGAAUGAUUCCAAAAAAUGAGAAUUACAAACUUUAUGAGCCCAGUGCUGAAUUGCCAGCCAUGAUAAACAAUUAAACAUACAUAAGAAAGCCUUCAUAACAAAUAAAAUCAUUUAAGAACCACUAGACUCUAGAGCAAGUGGUGGUGACAACAGCGGUGCCCAUGAAUUCCAUCUUAUAGCAUCAAACUGUCUAUGAUAAAAUGAAUGAUCCAAAACAUGAUUAACAUUUCCUGGGACAUACAAUGCAAACCUGUAGAGAGAUGAUAUCAUUAUCAUCAUGAACACACAUCUUCACAAAUUGUAGUAAAACAUUAUCAUUCAUGGAAACAAUGAUAUAAAGAUGCCAAAUGUUUGAUAAUAAACACCUGAUACAGAUAAAAUACUCAUUUGAAAACUCAUAUUAACCCCCGGGGGGGGAGGCUAUUUGUCCCUACUUAAACAUCACAACAACUUACCAAUCCAACUCUGACAUGCUAAUAACGAAUUGGAAGACCCAACUAUCAAUGAACCAUGAGAUUUAUUCAAUAAUCUACAGGCAACGCCAGGGAGUGCAAAACAAUAGGAAAAAGAUAUGGGUGAAUAAAGCCUCUCCAAGAUUCGUUUACAAACAUUUGAUUGAACAGAGGAUAGACCUAAGAGUACCUGAAGAUUGUUCUCUUUGAUAUAAGACCAAACACGAAAGAAGCAACCCAAACGUGAAAUCUGAGACUGACCCACAAAUUCUCUAACUGGGGAAGGAAGAUUUGCAAGGUCAAUCAAGUUAGCAAGCUUCUUGGGGUUAUCAGUGAUUGUCUUCUUCAGUCUCUGUGGCAGCAUUUUUUCUACCUCCUUCUCUUCUUCCUCGCUAUAUAUCCAAAAAACCAUACAUCAAACACUUAACAAAAUAAUAAUAAUAAUAAUAAUAAUAACAAAUUUUCAACACCCAAUGAAUUUUAAGAAAAAAAUUUAUGUUCUUUGCUGCUAAAAAAAGCAGUACAAGCUUAAGCUUCUGGGGAAUUUUAUCAAACAGUUGGCGCCAUUUGGUUAUCGAAUUCGUAACCUUCUACAUUCGUUGUCAAUUGCUAAAAUUAAUAGUUUUGUUAGAAGAUAGUUCAGCUGGUUUACCUGAAGAGGAACGGGAUGGCGGCAAAGUUCAGGGGUUAAAAUGGUAAAGAGAAGCAGUUCUGAAUACCAAACUUCAAGGUUUUGCAGGCGAGAGAGAGAGAGGGAAACGAAAGCGUGAGUAAAGGGCACUUAGUAAGAACUGAUGGUUGCUUUGCUUGAGUUCUUCAAAACGGCAAGGGUAGUAAUAAUGAAACCACAAAUUUUAUAUGUGUUUUAUUUUUUAUUUUUGGUAAUUUUUAUUAUUUUUAAUAGUUUUUGGUAAUUUUCUACAAAUUUAUAUAUUCCUUUUAUAUUUUUGCAAUUUUUUCAUAAAUUUCUUAUCUUUUAUAUUUUUUUAAUUUCAAGGCUAAUAUAAUAAAACAGCUAGUUUUGUAAUUAAAUAAGUCACUAACUUGAUUUUAAUUUAUAACUAAAAAUAUUUAAAACUUUUUAACUAAUUUGUCUUUUAUGUUGUGAAUUUGAUAAGAAUACAUAACACCAUCACUCUUUUUAAAAUUGUAUGUUGACGUUAAAGUAUAAAAUUUCUACUGCCUCGUUAAGAAAUUAAAAGACUGAAAUUUCAAAAAAAAAAAACUUUAAUAUUAAAAUCAAUGAUUUUUAUAGACAGAAACCAUAACCACAAAAGGGUGAAUUGUCAGAAAAUUUCACUUUUUCUUUAAUAUUUAUCAUAUUAGACCUUUUUUAAUAUUCGUGGAAUUAGGCCGAUUUUUUAAAACACGCUAAGUUAGACGAGUUUUGAUCAUACUUUGCAAGAAAACACGUUGAGUUGGACAUAUUUUCAGUGAAUGUUGCAGGAAAACGCUACCAGUUAGACGCGCUUUCUUGCUUUGUCAGUAAAACACUUCUAACUGGAUGCAUUUUUCCCAAUGGCUAUCCCGAGUGAAUUCCAACAACUACUUUCCACCCCCAACAGUAAAAAAAAAAAAACCUAUUUAAAACCCCUCAAUUCCAUUUUUUUUCAAUUCACUCUCAAUUUCUUUCAAUUCUCUCAAAUUUUAUAAAAAUUGUCUUAAGAAUUUUUUAUUUAAUUUUGUAUUAUGAAAUUUAAUCGUUUUUUUUAAUUCUUAAUGGUCAAUUUUCUUAUUCGUUUGGAUGACAAACACAUUUCAGUCUUCUAAUUGCAAAUGGUAAAAAUAAUAUUUAUAUUAUUUUUAAUCUAAUUUAAUUUCAUUAUUAAAUUGUUAUAUUGAAAUUUAAAAUUUUGUAUGUUUUCUUUUAUAAGUAGGUGGAAGAUUGAAUUUUGGAGACAUAUAUUAAACAGUCUUGACGCAAUACCCGUGACAACACACGUAUGCGAAGCGGUAUAUUUCUUGAUAGUCCAUAACCCCGUCUUUUUCUUCAUAGAAGUCAUGAUUUUCCAUGGACAUCUACUAUCUUGCAUUGCACAUUUCGCCUCGAAUUUCUCUGAUCGAGAUUUAACAAUGUAGAAGUUUACUCUAUUCUUUAUGUUGUAUCACUUCAUUGCUACGACAAAAGCAUCUUUAGAGGAGAACUCAUUCUCCACUUCUAAAUCAUCAGCAUCCAACAAAGAACUCGCAUGGUCCGAUUCUGUGUGGGAGUUCUGAAAACACCAACCCACCUUCUGCUGAGAGAUCUACAUUAUGCAUAUGGGUCGGAGGUGAGUAUGUCCUGAAUUGUAGAUCUUCUUCGACGGCUUCAUUCGUACCUUCAUCGUCUGAACCUCUAUCUUCUAGUUCAGUUGGAACCGGUUCUGGUUUAGAAAAUAAUGUAAUUUCUAAAUCAUCCAGCCCAGACUCCUACAUUGGAUUGUCAUUGGUUUUAGUGUCCUCUUCAAUCUCAACCCCUCUAGCAUGUCCAAGGUUGGAUGUCCCUUCACCGGUAGAGGUUGUAGGGAGUACAUCAUCCAUUCUUGUAUAGUUGUCGGUACAACCAAAACCACCUGCAGAUUGUCCACCGGUGGAACUUAAUGUCAUACCCCUGUAAGUGUUCCCGACGUAUAACAUCAGACUCUCAAAGUUGAAAUCAAAACUACUAACAGAGUGUCAUGUCAGGGUGUUGACUGCCUAUAAAUGAGUUACCGUUUACAGAAUAAAUAUAACACCAAAAAUACAAGAGUUAAGAAUGAUGGUGUCCGGAAGUGCACAGGUCAAAUUGUAAUAUAAUUUUACAACGAAAUACCAGAAGUAUUCUGAGAAUCAUACCCAAAGGAGGAUGAAAUAAAUAAUGAAAAAUAUUUUUUACAAUAAUAAGUCUAAAUAGUAGUAAUUAUUUCCUAUAUACUAUUAACCAUAAAAAUAGAUUAAGAACAAUAAAAAUAAAUAAACAACAAAAAUAAAUAAAUAAAGAAAAAUAAACAAAUUAAUUAAAUUGAUAAACCAAUCAGGAAGAUUAACUCGUUUCAUGGUUUGUAACUAACUUCGGAUUAAGGUUUUGAGAUGGAUUAGUAAUCGAUUAACUAAUUAUUACCUCUCGGUCUCUAAUUAACUAAUUGAUUCAUUGAUAAUAUUCGCUUAUCUCCCGACCUCACUUUCUCAACCAAGAUAAUUACGAUUUACUCAAUUUGACUUAUCUUCCGACCUGUUCUAGCUUAUGAUAACUUAUUAGGGUUGUCAAGCCUAACAAUUUAAAAACACAUAAUUUAUACCAACUAAUCCUUCUUGAAAAACCCCAAAUUCUUUGUUAAUCACAUCCUCAUCCACUCAUUAAUCUCCCCUAAGAUAUUUAGUCACUCAUGCUUUUAAUAAUCCCAACUUCGAUUGAACAAACCAAGUGAAAAACAAAACCAACUUGGAGAAGAAAAGAGAUUUGAAUAAUUGUAGAUUGAAUAUAAAAUGAGGAACGAAAUAACAAAUCUCUCGAUUGAAAUAAAGAAAUAAAACAAAUGUAAAUAAAAUUAUAAUCGAAUACUUUUAAUUAAAUAAACACGUUAUUGAAUCAAAACUAAUUCAAGAAGAAAAACAAGAAAGUUAUGAAAAGUCGAAAAGAAAAUAAACUACAACUGCUUUUAAACUACGAGGGUUUUUUGAAGGCGUCUAGGAUGACUUGAUUAUAUUCAACCCUUAAUGUCUUAUUUAUAGAGGUGUCAACAAUUCAUAUUAGGUGUUUGGCACGUCCUAGGUCUUCAUAUAAGUUUGAUUGCGUAGACAAAAAUUACCCCAAAAUACAUAGGCAGCACGUCGGCUUUAUGUCGCACCACACACCUUGCAUGGUGUGACACGACACCCAAAUACUAUCUUGUCUCGUUCAUUUUGUGCUUUGAUGUUCAGGAAAGCUUGUACAUCAUUCGACCCUUACUUCCACGUCAAUUGGACCUUUAUAUAUCCAUCUUACACACUGAAUUAAACCAAUUAGCACAAUCUCAGGCCCGUGUCAGUCUAUUGGGUCACAACACCUACAAACUGUUUAAAAACACUUAUUUUUAUUAACUUUCAAUCCUAAGGUCUAAUUACUGAAAAAGUUGUCGAAACCAUUUUUUUAUUUGAAAAAUGGAAAUCGAUUUUGAAAAUGGAGUGGCCACCAAUCUUUUAUUGGGGUGUGAUCAGGUCACCUUAAAAAUGAUUUUAGGUCUACAAAUUUUGAGAAAACAAGUUCGGGAGUCGGUUACGCACAAGGAAGGGUUAACACCCUCGUAACGCCCAAAAUUGGUACCGAAUUAAUUGUUUAAUGUCUUAGUGUCGAAACUUGAAAAGAUUUUUAAAUACGAUCCCAUGAAAUGAAAGCUUAAAUAAUUGAAUUGGCUAAAUAGACGGACCUAUUUCAAAGAGAUAAAUCGCCACACUCAGUAAGUUAGAGUGCAGCAAUUCAAUCUUCGGAGCUAGAUUCGUCUUUCCUUUUUAAAAAUUUUUAAAAAAAUCAUAUGUUUUAAGAAGGAUAUUUGAUUAUUUAAGCCAAUCGAGAAAUCAGAAUCCAGUAAGUUAGGGUUCAAUUUCUCGAAAUUCUUAAACAUCAAAUAUUGCCUUUAUUUUAAAAUCGAGACAACAAAAUGUCAUAUCCAGUAAGUUAGGAUCCAACAUUUUGAAAUCUUAAGAACUUUAUUUUAACAAUUGUAUGGUUUUAAUAAAAUGAACACUUGAUUAUCUAAAUUCAUCGAGAAGAAUUGAAGCCCAGUAAGUUAGGGCACAAUUCUCUUGAGAACUUAUGAACACCAAGCUAUUUUAGGAAUUAUGAAAUAAAAUGAUUAUAGUGCUUUAAUAAAAUACAACUCUUACAAAUGAAACAUGAUUGAAUAACAAUACAUAAAAUGCAAAAAAAAAAAAAAUAGCAAUAUAAAUUUACACUAAGGAGCAAUCAAGCAUGUAAUACAUCAACAUUGAUAAUUAUGCAUAUAAUAAAUUAAUAAUCAGUUUUCUAAAGAUACUUUGAUUAGAAAUAAAAUAAAAUAAAAAUAUAGUUAAUAUGGAAAUUUAAAAACAAUUUGAUAAUAAAUAACCAAAAUAAAGUAAAGGAAAUAAAUAAUUUUUAAGAAAGAGAGUAUUUAUGCAUUGAAAAAAACUUUAUAAUUCGAAAUUAAUAAUAUAUUUUAUACACAUGUACACCAAAAAUAAUUCCAUAUAAAUAAUAUAUACAUAUAUAUAAAAGAACCAUGUAAUAUUAUUGUGAAAAUAAAAUUUGAGUUAUAUUAUGAAAUACAUUAUUUAAAAAUAAUAAGUAAUUUAUCAAAUUUUUAUAAAAAUAUAUCAAGAAUGAUGGAAACAAAUAAUAAUAUAUCAAGUUGGAAAAUAAAAGUGUACAAUAGAAAUUUUGAAAUAAUGUUUAAUAAAUUUAAAACAUAUUGAUAAUAAUAAUUUGAAAGAAUUGUGUAUUAUAUCUUAAAAUUAUAUUAAUAAUCAGUUUGAAAACAAUAUUAAGCCAAUAUUAAAAUAAUAUUAAAAAUAACGGAUUAAUAUGAGAAUUGAUUUAUUUUUAAAAAAUACUUUUGAAGGCAAAAUUAAAUAUGAAAAAAAACUUUUUUUUUAAAUUAACAACAAUAAUUAUAAUAAUAUCAACAAAUUUUAAAAUCGAAGCUUAAAUAAAAUUAGUAUAAAAAAGGAAAAGAAAAUUAAAUAAAUAUACAAUAGACUCAAAAUAUUGGUGUAUAAUGAAUUUAAAAAUAUUAAAAAAAGCUAAAAUAAUAAUUUAUUACAUUUUAAACUAUAAUAAUAGUAAAUUUAAACACUAUCAAAAUCAAAUAUUACAAAUAAUAUUAAAUUUUAUAAUAUAUGAAAGUAGGAUUAAUUACAUUUAAAAAUAUUAUUGAAUUAAAAAUGAAAACUAAAUUUGCAUUAAAUUGAAACAUAUUUCAACGUUGAAGGACUAAAUCAGCAAUUAAACGCUAAACCUGAAUAAUCAAAAUCAAUAGCAGAAAACGAUGCCGUUUAGGCUUGGAUCCAAAUGAAAACAGAAUUAAAUAUGCAGUACAAAUUAAAAAAACUGAAGAAAAUUAGAUUGAAACUACAUAAAACAUAGAGGGACUCAUUUCGCAAAUAAACCGACGAACGAAACGCGUGGCUCCUGCCCCGGGUCGGGUCACCGCGCGGAUACCUGCGUCAUACCACGUCGUUUUGAGACCACAAGGCCCGGCCUCAAACGACGCCGUUUCUAGCUAGACAUAAAAACUAAAGUAACCCUAAUUUAAACAGACUCUUCUUCCUAAAAAAAAGAAAAGCAGAGACUUAAAAUGAGCAGAUCCUCGGUGUCACAUUUUGGAACCUACUGCUCAUGGGACCUUCAACCCUCGCCCGGCUCCAAUUGUGACGGAGCGAACGACGGUCAGGUAAGUUCCUUGCUCUUUUUUCUUUUCUACUUCAAUAUUAAUCAAUGAACAAAGGAGCAGAAAAAAAAAACAAAGAAAAGAUUAACUAUCACCUUUCGAAUUUUUCUUUUCACUGAAAAUGAGUUUUUUUGUAUUCAAUUUCUCUGAAUGCGUAACUGUUUACAGUCUAUUCUUGGAUUUUUUAUAGCCUGAUUUUUUUACAAGAGAAAAAGAAAAUUAAAAUAAAUAAAAGGAAAAUUGCCCCGUCCUUGUUAUUCUGUUAUUUUCUUUUGCUCUCAUUUUCGUGUGUUUGCUUGCAGGUACUCGGCCAGCCUGGAGGUGCAUCUGUGUGGAGAUGACGCACGCGCCUAGUGGCGAUGCACGCGCAAGGUUUGUUGGAUUCAUCUAUGGCGCUGAAGCAGGGGUCUGUUGUGGCUUCACCAGAUUAGUCUAGAAACCACUAGGGUUUCUAAUUUUGGGUUGUUUGGGCUCGAUGUAUUCGGGUUUGGGCUUGGGUAAUGUAUUUUGGGUUUGGUUAUUUAAUUUCUGGUAUGUAAUUAGGUGGUGUAUUGGGAUGACUAGGUUGAGUAUUAGGAAAUUUGGGUUGGGCUAUUUUUGGCCUGCUGUUGUAAUGAAAAACUGGACAUUUUAUUAUUAUUUAUUUUAUAUAUUUUUCAUAUCUGGGUUUUAAUAGUUGGGCUCGGGCCGGAAAAAAUUUGGGUAUUACAAACGUAAAAUAAAAUCCUAAAUUGCCUAGAAAACAAGUUCAAAAAAUAGACAUUUUCUGUUAAUUCACACCUACAGAAAUAAUUUAAGUGUUUGUUUAAAUAAAGUUUAGAUAUUUUUACUAUAUUAGUACAUUUUUAAUAGAGACGGAUAGAAGGCAUGAGUUACUGGCAUGGUGAAACAGCGAAGCCCCCAAGACCAAGAGAGAUCUGUUUUAGUAGGCGUUCAUCUCAAACAAAACAAUAAAGUAAAGAAUAAAACCUGAACAAGUGAGCUGGGACUAGGAGAAUCCAAUAAUUGCCUAAAACCCCAACCCCUUCAGAAUCAUAACAUAAACAAAACCCACCACGGUAGAAAAGACAAAUAGGGUUUUUGAAACAAAUUCAGAUUGGGCUUUAUAACUUAAAAUGAAGAAAAAAGUACAGAAAGUCCAGGCUAAGCUAAAUGCAAGUUCUGGCCCAUAAACAAAUCAGAACUGUGGACCAAAUCCUAAAGGAAAAUAGAAAAAAAACAGUCUUUAAGCAACUUAAAAUCAAAAUCUUCUAAAACCUAAUAAAUGCUAUCAUAUCUUGCCCAAUCAGAAAAAAUCCAUUUCUGUCUUUUCAAAAUCAUCUAUUCAUUUCUUCAAAGAGACGUUUCCAGAUUUUAAUGAAGCCUUGUCUGCCACUCCUUUGAAUUAUCACUAUACAGCUUCUUUAACCGUUCACUUCUUCUCAACACAUGUCCUCUGCCUUUCUUUCGAUUUCUUCCAGAUUAGCAGCAUACUCCGGGACUCUUCCAAUCAGGUAAAGUUCUUCUUUUUCCUUUAAUGUCACCGUCGCUAGUUUGUGUGCCAGGUUGUUCGCUUCUCUGGGAAUAUACUCAAGAUAGUAUUUUCCAAAAUUUUUUAACAGCUGAUGUAUAUCUUGGAUAUAUGCUCCGAUUCUGGAUUUAUCAUGGCUUUUCAGUUUGCACUUCUUUAUAAUAGAUAACGCAUCCCCUUCGAUAAUAAUGUUUGACCAUUGCAUGUCCCUACUUAUUUGAGUUGCUGUACGACACGCUAUUGCUUCUGCGGCAAAGGCUGAUGCCACAUGAUGAUGAAUCUCUGUGCAUGAUAAAAGUGUGUUUCCAUCACUAUCCCUGGCCACGAUUCUCGCUGCUGAUUGCCGUGAGUUCCCAUCAAAUGCUGCAUCGAAGUUAACCUUCACAAACUGGACCGGUGGGUACUUCUAUUCCCUGCCUGUUUUUGCUCCAAUCUCAUUCAGUUCACUAAUAUAUCUCUUUCCCAGAUCUAUUAGUCUUUUCAUGCACUCUCCUAUUCCUUUCUCCCCAUAUUGCCCAAAGAGCACAACAAAAGAUCCGUCACCGAUUGGUGGAAUUCUGUUCAAAAACCCAGGUAAGCCAUUGUACAAAAUCCACAUGAGGAACUUGUAAUAACUCUGGGAAUAAUAGCUCUUCCCAUACUGUUCUUGCCACAAGACAUUCACGGAAUAUAUGAUUUGUAGAUUCUACUGCACUGCCACACCCGAUGCAUGUCACAUUGUUUAACAGCCUUCUGUAGUUCAAGUUGACUCGAGUCGGGAUAUAAUUCCAUGAUAUUUUCCAGAUUGAAAUUUUUACCUUAAGAGGUAGAUUAAGGAGCCAUAGGUUUCUGUAGAAAUUUCUAGAAUCAUUUUGUAAAGCAUAAGCACAAGGGUCAUUUUCGAAGCCAGACCAGGAAGUCAUCGUGAGGUUCUUUUGCAAGUGGGAUACAGAAGAUUUUCUCAGAUAUCUCCGCAGGAAAGGUAGCUUCGAUUAGUUCUUUUUUCCAUUCUUUGUUUCUGUCUUCAAUUAGAUCUGCAACUUUAUAUUCCUGCAAAUGCGAUAACCUGGGAUAAUUGGUAAAAUAAAAUGAUAAUUUUGGAUAAUCCGGUAACCAACUAUCAUUAAUGACCGAGAUUACAGUACCCCUCUCUACUUUCCAACAGCUUCCAUCGAAUAGAACACCUCUCGUUGCCCAUAUGCUUUUCCACGCAAAGGAACUAUUAUUCCCAAGAUACGAAUUAAGGAAAUCCGUUUCUGGAAAGUAUUUAGCCUUUAACACCCUUGCAACUAACGAGUUUGGAUUAUUUAGGAUUCGCCAGCCUUGUUUAGCUAAUAAGGAGAUAUUAAAAUUAGCCAUACUCUUGAAACCUAUACCUCCUUGUUCUUUUGCUCGGCACAUAUUUUGCCAUUUACACCAGUGAAUUCCUCUUUUUCCUUGCUUCUUUUGCCACCAAAAGGUGGCGAAUAAUUUUUCCAAUUCGUCACAUAGGGAAUUAGGGAGAAGAAAGCAUGACAUAGCAUAAGUCGGAAGUGCCUGAAGUAUGGAUUUAAUGAAAACUUCCUUGCCUCAUUGUGAUAAUAGUCUGGUGCUCCACCCUUUAAUUAUGGAGUUAACUUUAUCUUUUAGAUAUUGAAAAGCCUCCUUUUUCCGUCUUCCAACUACAUUAGGAAGGCCCAAAUACUUCUCCAUAUUUGUUGACCCUCUUAUACCUAAGCUCACUGAAACUUCCUCUCUAUCUCUGGUUGAUGUAUUCGAGCUAAAGUAAAUUGUAGAUUUUUCAAAAUUAACACAUUGGCCCGAACAUACUUCAUAUUCCUUAAGGAUUUCUUUUAGCACCCUUACAUCCUUGUUAGUUGCUUCUCCGAACAGAAUGCAAUCAUCGGCAAAAAGUAGAUGUGAAAUCGCUGGUCCUUUCCUGCUUGCCUUGACUCCUCUUAUUCGUCCUUCUUUCAAUGCUAAUCUCAUUAGUGCCGAAAGACCCUCGCUGCAUAGUAGAAAAAGGAAAGGACUAAGUGGGUCACCUUGUCGUAGUCCUCUAGAAGAUUGAAAGAUUCUUCCCCCUUUUCCAUUAAUAUUGACUGCAUAAAAAGCUGUAGUAAUGCAUUUCAUAAUUAAACCGACCCAUUCUUUUGCAAAACCCAUUCUCAACAUGACUUCCUUAAGAAAACUCCACUCAACCCUAUCAAAGGCUUUGCUCAUAUCAAGUUUAACUGCCAUAAAGCCUUUCUUACCUGUUCGUUUUCGUCUAAGAGUGUGUAGGAUCUCAUAGGCUAGCAAUAUGUUAUCAGAAAUUAACCUUCCUGGGAUGAAAGCACUCUACGACAGAUCAAUACACUGCCCAAUAACCCCUUGAAGUCUGUUGGCUAUUACUUUCGCCACAAUUUUGUAGAUAACAGUACAUAGACUGAUAGGUCUGAAACUUGUUAUGUUUUUGGGAUUCUGUGCUUUUGGGAUCAAAACAAUACCAGUAAAAUUUGAAUGGCCUAAAUUUUUGUCACUGUUUAAAAUUUCCAAACAAAAAGUGGUGACUUCUUUACCUACAAUAUGCCAAUAUUGUUGAAAGAAAAGUGCUGGGAAUCCAUCAGGUCCUGGUGCUUUAGUUGGCCCCAUUCCUUUCAAGGCAAGAUGCACUUCUUCUUCCGUAAAUUUUCCCAUUAAGUCUUCAUUUAUUUCUGGUGUGAUUUUCUCUUCAAUGCCUGUUAGGAGGUAGGAUAGCUCACCUACUCCUUUUGAUAUAAAUAACUUCUGAAAGAAAAGAGUAGCUUCUUCACUGAUCAUGCAUUCUUCCGUCACUUCUCCUCCUUCGAUAAGUUCCAGCCUUGAUAUCGUGUUUUUCUUUCGUCGAGAUGUGGCGUGCCUGUGAAAAAAAGCUGUAUUUUUGUCCCCUGCUUUUAUCCAAUUUACCCUUACCCUUUGUUCCCAAUAUCUUUCAUCUUUAUCAAUUUCUAAGUUUAGGUGCACCUUAGUAUCAAUGAUUUCUGCCAUUAUGUCAUCGGUAUUUAUCCUUCUCCAUCAGCAUCUCCAGUUUCUUUGUAAGCCUUUUCUUCAGCCCUUCUUGUCCUUUUUUAAUUUCCCCUGCCCAUUUUUUUAAGUCUGAUUGUAAUUUUUCCAGUUUCUCCAGUACGUUAUUUGUAGAUGAUUCCCAAGAUGCUUUAAUUUCUCCUUCAAGAGACUCUUCCAUAGUCCACCAUGCCUCAAAAUUAAAAAUUGGCUUUCCAAAAUUAUCAUUUUCUGUUUUUGUAGUAAGCAGCAGAGGAUAAUGAUCAGAUAAUGAAUGGGGCAAGUGAUGAAUGUUACCCAUUGGAAAAAGAUUCCUCCACUUAUCAUUGGCUACUCCUCUAUCAAGUCUCUCUUUAACAUUUGUUUCUGGUAUAUUUCCCCUUUCCCAUGUGAACCAAGGCCCUAUGUACCCUAAAUCUUCCAAGUUGCAUUCUUCAAGAGUUUCUCUAAAAACCUCCAUCUGUCUUUCAUCUCUUAGUAAACUUCCUUUUUUCUCAAAAGAAUACAUGAUUUCAUUAAAAUCCCCACUCACAACCCAUGGAUAUGUCUGGUCUUGUCCCAAUUUUCGUAACAAAUUCCACGAAUCAUUCUUCAGAUUGACAUAAGGGGAACCAUAGAAACCUGUAAAUCUCCAUUCUUCAUUGUCAGUUUCUUCCAUAACCAUUGCAUCAAUAUGAUUCUUAGAAAAACUUCUUAAGGUAACCGUAAUCUCUUCUCUCCAUGCUGAGCAUAAACCACAUCGAGAACCUUCUACAUCUACAUCAAAUCCAUUCUGAAAACCACAUCUUCUUCUAACUUUCUCCAUACAUUGCUUGCUUAAUUUUGUCUCCAUUAAGAAGACCAUUUGGGGGUUUUGCUGCUUUAGAAAGUAUCGCAGCCUUCUAACUAUUCGUGGACUCCCCAAUCCACGAACAUUCCAAGUAAUGAUUUUCAUUGCGUUCGGCCGGCUUGCCUCUUGGCAGCCGCCGAUCCUAUGAGUAAAUUAGUAUCACUCUGUUGCAUAGCGUUUCCCAUCGUUUCUAGUAGCGUUUCUCCUUGUUCCUGUUCUCUAUCUUUUUUAGUCCUUUUGUUUCAACUCCAUAUUCAGCUUCUAUAUAGUAAGUCUCUACUAUUUCUUCAGUAGCUUUCCUCUUCUUGUUGCAGUUUCCAUCCUUUUGCUUUGCCACUUUAGGGCUGGAUUGACUCUUCUCCAAGUUGACGACUUUACUGAAUUGGGAUUACUGUCUUGACUUCUCCUCUUAUCAACCACUCACUCAUUGCUCAUAACUGAAUCUUCUUUUUCCUGCUUCUUCAUCUCCUCCUUGUUUUCAUUCACUAGUAGCUCCCCAUGCGUCAUCCCCAACCAAUUAUUUGCUUCUUCAGCUUUGCCAUCUUCAAUCAAAUCUGGCUCAGAGCCACCUGUAUAAAAACAUUGAACCCUAUUCUGAUUUAAAGAGUUAUUUAAUUUAAUACACUCUUUUCCAAGUAAGUUUGAUUCUGCUCUUAGUGCCAUCGUGUAUGGGGGAUUUUCUUUAAUUUUUGUUUUUUCUGCAGGAUUUAGUGAGUUACAACCUGAAAGUCCGUGCCCCAGCUUCCCACAUCUGAAGCAAAAAGUCGGUAAUUUUUCAUAUUUAAAGGAAAUCCACCAUUUAUUCUUAUUAUUCACUGAGACAAAAAUACCUCUUCGAAGGGGUUUCUGCACAUCGAGAUUUAUUUUUAGACGACACCAUUCUCCGUUGAUUUCAGAUCUGAUUAUCCCACCAAAAGUGACACCUAUGGCAUGUAGCAAGUCUUUUUUAUCAAAUUAUGGUAGACAUGGUCCUACCUUCAGCCAGACCGGUGAGGAGUUGAGCCGAAUCUGAGACCUUUCCACCGAUUGGGUAAUCCUGUCGAAAAGGAUUAGACUCUUUCGAAAUAACCAUGGCCUACCUUCCAUAAUCAAUUCUAAAUCCUCUUCCAUCUCAAACGCUAUCAAAAAUAGGUUUUGUCCUGCUGUUUGAAUCUCAAACUUCUUUUCUGUUUUCCACAAACUCUUCAUCUGUGCCCUAAAACUUUCCGGAUUGUAAAACUUCUCUGUCCAUAUUGUGCAGAUCAGGGUUGGUUUUUUAUUCGGAACUACCUUCGAACCUUUGAUAGAUAAUUGGAUAAGCUCUUCAGUUAAGAGUGAAAUCUCGUCCCUCUGCUCACUAUCAUCUCCACCGCUUUCCCCCAUCCCAAGUUGCAAAAGUGACUGCCUUCACUAGGACUCUCGGCGAAGCACUCUUGGAAAAGAAGUAACUAGGGUUUUUUUGUAAAAAAAAAAAUAUUACAAAUAUUUAACAAUGUAGAAUACUUUAAAUUGCUCUUAUUCAAAAAGACAAAUAGGGUUAAUUUAUCUAAAUAAUAUUAAAAAAUUAAAUAUUAAAAUAGAUUGUCAACUGGAUUAUAUACGAAAAUGAAUUUUUUUGGGUCGUGCCUAUCUGAUACGCGCAACAACUUUUUUAUAUUAAAAUAUCUUUUUACUUUAAAUAAAAUAUUAUUAUUUUAUUUUUAUUAAAAAUAUUUAAAUAUAUAUAUACAGGUCAAAAUACAGUUAACGAGUCAAAAUACGGGUUAAAAAUACCCAAGACCAGUCACGCCUAUCAGAUAGGCGUCACUGGUCGAGCCUGACAGGCAGGCGCCACUGCCUCCCCCCUGCGCCCCUCUGCCCCGCACAAAAAUAUACUUUUGUUAUUAAUUAUUAUUUAUAAAUUGUUUAUGUUUAGUGUUUAUGGUUUUGGGUUAAUAUUUGGUAUGAAUGUAAAUUUUUUUUAUAAUUAUUUUAAAAUUAAUUUGUUAGUAAUUUAGGAUUAUGUUAUAUGUAAUUAUUUUAAAAUUAAUUUAUUAGUAAUUUAGGAUUAUCUUAUAAAUUAUUGUGUUUAGUUUAGUAUUUGGUGAGUUUUUAAUAAUGUAAAAUUAUUUUUAAAAAAAUAAUUUUAUAGUUAUUUUGUUCAACCAGUCGCGCCUGUCAGAUAGGCUCCACCAGUUGCGCUUACUAGAUAGGUGCCACCUACCCCAUACCAUUUUUGUAUCCGGGAAAAAAAAAAUACAAACACCACGCCUAUGAGAAAGGAGCUGCCAAUAAAAUAAUAUUUAAAAAAAUAAAAAAUACUAUAAUAUAAAAAAAGAGGUUGCGCCUAUUUUAAUUUUUAUAUUAUAAUAUAAAAACAUACUAUUUUCGUAUAUAAUCCAGGUGAUAACCUAUUUCAGUAUUUAAUUUUUUUUAAUUAUUUAGGUAAAUUAACUGAAAGUAAAGAUUGCCAAAUCCCCGCUGGAGGAUGGAACAAAAAUAUGGUGGCCGGAAACACUCGAAACAGUGGUUCCAUACGCAACCAGAUCUGGCAUCCUACCCAAAAAACCAGCACAAAGGAUGAAAGAAGUGUCACUCCUCAGACCCGGUAGUGAUUCAAGUAUGAAGUGAUUGAAAACUUCAAACUUCAUGCAAAUUCUGCAACUUUACUGAAGCACAGAACAACAUUUUAACCAAUUGAAACGAUACAUCCGAACAUACCAAAUAAUUUUAUAUAUCAGUGUUAGAGUAUACGAUUUGGCCUACAUUGCUUAGCACUCAAAGUUAAUUACAUCAAGGGCAAAAAAUCAUCAGCGUCUCUAUCGGACACCACAUUUGUGUUCCUUUCGUGUAUAAUCUGAGCAAACCGUGUUCUUGAAGGAUAAAUUAAGCGUUGGUGAUCAUGAAAGCAAUCGUUGAUAUCCGAAUUUCUCGAUUUCGAGUAAUUUUAAGACUUCUUGACUGAAGCAUCCAAGUGAGCAGCAGCAACAAUGUCGGAUGGCAGAAGUUCUGAUGUUCUGCUGUUUCAGUUCAACAAAUUAAAACUGAUAAAUCCAAUAUGAAGAACUGUGUCAUAGGAAUGAAUCUGGAGACAACAAUAAACAAGAAGUUGUCAUCUACAGAUGAACCUCCAAACAUGCAAUGCAAAGGUGAAGCCAAACUUUAUGGUCCGGUGAUCUUGAUUUGGGCAAUCAAGUUUCAUUUGACUUGCAGCUUGUUAAACUGUUGACACAUAAUAUCAGUUGGUCAGAUUCGAAUGAACGAAUUAAUAUUAUCAGAAUGCAAGGGAUUUACAACUUCACCAACCUGCAAAGCCAUGAUGAAUUUUCCGAGAUAUGGUUGUUUCCUGGAAUUGAAAUCAAGACCUCUACGGAAACUGAAAAGAGGAUAAAGAUCCGAUAAAUACAACACAAAUAAAAGUAGCAUGAUGAAUGAAAGUAAGUAUGGAUGAACAAAAGGAAGCAAUGUAACACAGUAUACCAACAAGAAACCUGAAAAUUCCCAUACCAUGCACAAUCAUUCACUGCAAAAUCAAACAUUGAAAAUCUAGUUGUCAAUCUAAUCACUUCUCUGCGACAGACCUUCGAGAAAAUUACAGACCAUUUGUAUCACAAAGCAGCCUAUAAUUAGAGAAUUAUACUUCUAUCCAACAUUAGCCUUCAUAGUGAUGACCAAUUACAGGAAUUGGCUGCCUGUGACCUAGACCAGAAGCCAUCAUUUGAAAAUGUGAUACCUCCAGAUCCUGCAGUGCUCAGUCAAAGAUGACACAGCAUCAGAAUUGACAGGAACGAGACAGAUUAAGAAGAUUAGGGUUAAAAAUUUAAAGGAUGAUUCAAUUAUAGAACAAUACAAGCAAGUUAAGAAACAACCGUUAGCUAUACAAGUUCAUAAUCACGUAACCAAUGCCAGCGAUAAGACGAAACGAGAGCAUGAGCAUUUACCGUCUAAACUCUGAAGUCCUGCAAACAAAUUACUGAGCUAGAAUGAAGUUUUUGUCAGAUGGCUAGAGACAAAUCAACAAUAGUCUUGACAUGAACAAAUGCCGCUUUUGAAGUGAUGGAAACAAUUUGCAUCACGAACAACUAUCUCCUGUUUUAUGACACCAGAGACAAGCUUCAUAAAAUCAUGGCAGUCUUCACAUAUGUGCAAAUUUUUGAAUAUCCGAAUUGUUUUCACAGGGUUGAUGCUAAUAAGAGCAAAAGCAAGAGCUAAUCUUUCAUUAUGAUGAAAGAGCUGUUCUAAUUUUUCAUCAUCACUGACAUCAUUGAGUAUAUGAUCUGUCUUAGGCACAUAUCCUGCUAAAAUAGACUUCUCGACAAGCUCCUUCAAUUUUAUAUAGAUCUCCCCAUGUUUUGGAUGAAAACCAUCAGUGGACCUGAAGAUGUGCACUUGACCAUUGACCAUCACCCAACUACACCCAGGUUCUUUCUUAACACCACAAUGGGUCAUCAAUGCUCUGACUCUUCGGACAUCCUCCCACCUACCCUUGGCAGCAAAAAUAUUUGCUAGUAAUAUGUAAUGGGAGGCUAUACCAGGAUUAAGUUCGAAGAGUUUCUCAGCAGCACUUUCACCAAGUUUGUCAUUUCCAUGCAUUCUACAAGCCCCAAGAACUGUCUCCCAAAUCAAGGGAUUCGAUGUAACCUUCAUGUCCUUGAUAAAGCUUUCAACUUCAUUGAACUUGCCAGCUCGACCUAAAAUAUCAAUCAUACAGGCACAGUGCUUAAUUGUGGGUACUAUUCCAAAAACAUUGGUCAGGGAAUCAAAGUACUCUUUCCCUUCAUUUACAAAGCCCAUAUAACUACAGGCAGAUAAAACUGCUAUGAACGUAACCUCAUCUGGCUCAAGGCCUUUGUCUAACAUCAUCCUAAAAGUUUCUAAAACCUUCAAUCCUUGUCUAUGUUGCAGGUAUCCAAAUAACAUCGUGUUCCAUGAUACAGUAUCCGUUGACACCAUGCCCUGGAAAGCAGCUUCAGCUUCUUCUAUGCAUCCACAGUUAGCAUACAUAUCUACAAUUGAAGAAGAUACAAACAUAUCACCUGAAUUCCCAGCCUUAAUUGCCAUUGAAUGAAGCAGCUGCCCGUUUUCCAACAUCGCCAUAUUGGAGCAACUACUCAAACAGGUAGCAAGAGUGAAAUUAUUGGGCGUGACACCUUGCCUCUGCAUAUGAUUGAAGCACUUGAUAGCCUUCUCUGAACAAUCACUUUGAGCAUAACCAGCAAUUAAUGCAGUCCAUGAAAAAAGAUCCCUCUCAAUCAAUUGAGUAAAAAGUAGCUCUGCAUCCGCCAAGAAUCCAUUUUUGGCAUACAAGUCAAUAAGAGAUGUUCCCACUAAAUUAUUAUCCUUUAGGCCAUUCUUUAUUAUAUGGGCAUGCACUUGAUGUCCAAAUUUUAUAUUUAAAAGAUUGGAACAAGAUCUUAAAAUGCUAGUAAAUGUACAGAUAUCAGGCUUAAAACCUUCAGCAAGCAUCUUGUGAAAGAUACUUGGUCCUCGAUCACAAGUUUUACCAUUAUGAGAUCCAGAAAGAAGAGAAUUCCAUGAAGCUGAAUUCCAAGAACUCAUUUCCUUAAACACCCGCCAACCAUUUUGGACUGACCUGAUUUUCAUAUACAUUGCAAUAAGUGCAUUGCUCAAAAUGAUUUCAGAUUCAAAUCCAUGUUUAAAUAUACAAGCAUGAACGCCUUCACAAUAUAACCGAUCACCCAAAUUAGCAGCUACACCAGCAAUAGAGGCAAAAGUAUGCUGAUUGGGGCUUACCCCUUUGCAUCUCAUUAGAGAAAACAACUCAGCUGCCUCUUGAAUCUGGCCUUGCUCAUCAAGGCAGUCAAUCAUUGCACUCCAGGCUACUAUGUUGGGUUCUUGAAUCCUUUUAAAAACCUUAAGAGUAUCCUCAGCCAGUCCACAUUUUGAGUACAUAUCAAGAAGGCAACAACCAACAAAUUCAUCAUGCUCACACCCGGUCUUAAUCACCAAAGAAUGUGCAAUCAAGCCCCAUGUUAAGUUUACCAGGUACGUACAACUUUUGAGCACAUUUGACAAAGUAAACUUACUACACCUCAAUUCAGAUUCCGUCAUCCCUUGAAACAAAUUCAAAAUCUUUCCUGCAUCGCCCUUUAGAGCAUAUCCAUUAAGCAAUGCAUUCCAUGAUACAACAUUCUUUUUAUCCAUGAACAGAAAUACUCUCUCUGCCAGUUCCAUCUGACCACAUUUCGCAUAAAGAUCAACAAGAGAGGAUCCAACAAAAACAUCCAACAAAACUCCAACUUUAACACCUUCCCCAUGCAACAAUGUACCAAAAAACAAAUCCAAACUCAAAGAACAAGCUUUCAAAGCGGUCACUAAGCAAUGCCCAUUUGGCAGAACCCCAUCUUUCUUCAUAGAACAAUACAAAUCCAACACAUAAUAUCCAUACCCUUCAUUAACCAAACCAGAGAACAGAGCGGCCCAAGACACAACAUCUCUUUCAGGCAUUCUAUCGAGCACUUUACAAGCAUAUCCAAAGACCCCACGUUUUGCAUAAGCAUUCACUAAGGAGUUCCAUAAAUGCAAAUCAGGGUCAAUCCCAUUUUUUAUUAUCUUCCCAUGAACAGCUUUGGCUGAACUCAAAGACCCUUUUGAUGCGCAAUCAUGUAGAAUCUUAGAGUAAAGCUUUAACCUUUUAGAUCCUUCAAGCUUUGUUUUUUCUUUGAAAAGUGGGACUUUUAAAGAUGGGUUUAUCUCUUCUGUGGCAACAUGGGCAGUAAAAGAAGAAACAAACUGAAAUGAGGCAAAAAGCAACCUCCUGGGGAAUUCAAUGACAAGACGGUUUUUUCUUGUGGACAAACAUCGAAAAACAAGUGAUUGAAUAAGCAUUGAAACAAAAUAAAAAAUUAAAAAAUAGCUUGGGGUUUCAGAUUUCUUUGUGUAAAGAUAUCGAGUUUGAAGCUUUUAUCUCGCUGUUACUUCAGAUAUAACUGGGCUGGGCUACUCACGCAAGUACGAAGUAUCAUUCGAAAGCUCGAAAAAUUUAGAUAAAAAUAUUAAGUUUAAAAAUAGGUUUGAAUAAAAAAUAUUAAAUCUAUUUAAAAAUAUGAGCUAAAUUCGGGUUUGAGCAUUUAGAAUUUUUGAUUUGAUUAAUUUUUAAGUUUGUAAUAUUUUAUAUUAUAUUAUAUUUAUAUGUUAUAUAAUUUAGAAUACAUUAAAAAAAUAAAACUAUAUUAAAUAUAUAUUAUUAUUCUAAUAUAAACAUUAAAAUAAUGUUAAGAUAACUAUAUAAAAAUUUUCUAUAAAUAAAAAGUAUAUAAAAUUAUUAAAUAUUAAAAUAAAAUAAAAUAAAUAUCUUUUUAAAAAAUUUAAAAAUAAUAUGUCGGCCUAAAAUGGAUUUGGAUUAAUCUUUUACAAAUAUAGACAUAUUUGAAUAAAAUUUUAAAUUCAUAUUUCGAGCCAAAUCGAACUUGGACAAGCAUAAAAUAUAUUAAUAAUAUGCUAAAGCCCAAUCUGAUCUAGUUCAUGAACAACUCUAAUAAGAUAGCUAGGCUCCUUGUACUUGGUCAGCAUAGGUAGAAAAUGAGACUGCUUUCUCUCUUCAUUGAUUGUAACAAAGCGUGCUUUCAAAUGGUUUUUAGGCUUUGGUUCCAAAGUGACGCGUACUUUCGAAUGAAACGUGCUUUAUGAUAUUUUCUGAGCAUUUAUAAUAGUACCAAGUGCUAUUCCUAUUUUGGCAUUUCUAAUUUCUAGAGUUUUAGCCCCAGUUAAAAAGGGUCUAUAAAAACUUUUUAGUUAUGAAUUGGGUAUAGAACCAAUAGGCGAUGCUUGGUUACAAUUUCGAAUCCGUUUUUACAUGUUUGCUCUAGUUUUUGUUGUUUUUUUUUAUGUUGAAACGAUUUUUCUUUAUCCAUGGGCAAUGAGUUUCGAUGUAUUAGGGAUACCUGUAUUCAUAAAAGUUUUUAUUUUCAUGCUUAUCUUAAUUGUUGGUUCAGUUUAUGCAUGGGGAAAAGGAGCAUUAAAAUUAUCUUAAUUCCUGAAUAUUCAGAUAAUAAAAAGAAAGAAAAAAAGUAGGAUUCUAUCAAAUUUCCCUUAGUUUACUUUGAUGAAGGCUUGAAGUAAAGAGUUUGUAUUGUACCUCUUUAUUUGGACUUUGGUUCCGUUUGAACAGAUCCCUUGAAGUAAAGAAUUUUGUAAAAGUCUGUUUAAAAGAGAAGUUUCCUUAAAAUUCCCAAAUAUAUAUUACAUAGAUACGUACAAUGUGUGUCUCAAAGAAAUUAAAGGCUAACAAUGGUCUUUCCAAGCAACCAUAAAACAAGCGAUAACUCAAGGCCAAAAAUGGUGUGGAGUGUGCUCCUAUCUAGUACGAACCCAUAGAUUGUUAUCCCAGCUCGAUUGUUCUCAAAAUAAGUCACUGUCAUCAACCAAGAAUGAAACAGACCAAUAUCAUCAAGCAACUCAACACGUAUACUACUGUUAUGUUCAUGUUGACAUUGUAACAACCGAGUUUCAAGACGUCUAUCUCGAGUCACCCUAUGCAUCGGGAUCUAGCCGUCGCUUCCAAAUACACUAAAAUCCCGAUAGGCAAUGAGAAGGAAAUGUCCUAAAACCCAAUCGUUACAUGUAAUGUUCUUCGGAGUGACAUUAUUACCUAGAGCUUGUCUCUUUUGGAAUGAAAGGGUACUAUAAGCAUAAGACGGGAUCAUCUUGUUGUUGUCUAUGUCAUCUUCAUCACCAACGUCAUCUCCAUCGUCCGAUUCACCAUCCGUACCCACAUGAGGGAAAGGUUGAUGGCUCUGAAUGACAGACGGACUCCUCGGCAUAUCAUCUUCGUUCGCAUUGAGUGAAUCUAAUGUUGCACAAGCAUGCCACUUUGCCGCUAGGCAUGUAAUAGCUUGUGCUUUGUGAGUUAUUUUCGUUGCACUUCGUAAUAAUAUACAGAGUCCAGUGAGGAGAGUUAUAGAACACAACUACAACAACAAAAAAAGGGCACUCAUCCAACAAUGUGUUAACCGUUUUGAUCCGAAAAUCUCAUGGAUAGAUAAAUGAACACUUACAGCAAGUUCUCCAGCUUUAUAAAAAUUCAGUGCAGAAGUAGCCUUUGUAGUGAUAAGCAAAGAAGUGAAUUGGCUGCCAGUGAUCAAGAUCAGGCAACAUAUUAUAAACGCGCGAUAUCGAUGGCUGAUGAUCCUCAAAUGCCUCCUGAUCCGCAGGUGUUCGGACAAGACUGAACCAACAUCAGAAUCAAUUUGGAAAACCUGAGCAAAGUCGCGGAGUCGGAGAACCUGGAGAUUGCAAAUAAGGUGGAAAAGAACACACACAAGGAAGAAGACAGUCGUCCGGUAAAGCCACGAGCACAGCUCCGUAAUGCAGGCAACCGUGUCACUGAGCCAGACAAUGCCUAGGAAAGGAAUUUGUGAAGCACCUGAGGCAUACCACCAUACUUUGUAUGCAGUCUCAGCUAUGAAACAUGGAAGAACAAAGACUGCUACAAUUUUCAGUGAUCUCUGCAUAUAUUAUACAGUAAAAUUCAAUCACAUUAAUCUAUGAAUUGAAAGUUUUUUUCAAUAUCAUCCAAAAGGAAGCAACCUAGCAUUCUACAUUUUCUUGUAGCCAUAUGAAAUUGAAAUUCUCAAAGGAACUGAAACUACAAAAUUCUAAACGUUCUUACCUAUCAAUAACGAAAGAUUCAGACAAUAACAAAAAAAAAAAAAAAAAACCAGAAAUUCAUUCAAAUCCACAUAUGAAAACUAUUCUAAAAAUUGCAAUUUAAAGAAACAAAAAAAAAAAAAGGGUCAUGAAUUUGAAGGGAAAGAAUGAAAGAAUACUUACAUUGAGCUGACCAGUGUAUCCUUUCCUGACAGCUUCACUUUCAACAUAAAGCUUAUCAAAAAACAAGAACCGUUUCAAACCAUAUGUCUUGACAAACCUCGUCAAACAAACAAAAGACAAAGCUGAAACACUGCUCAAAGACAGCUGAACCACCGAAUCAUAAGGCCUUGCAUGUUUAGCAUCACAAGUGGAACAAGCCAACCAAAAAUGAGACACAGAUGGGACAACAAGCCCCAAAAAUAUGAACAAAAACCAAGACAAACAAGUUGUCCAAAUGUUUGAUUGAUCAACACACAUCCAUUUUAGGUAUGUUCUAAAGCUUUGUAACUCAUCUUUUGCAUGAGAUAUGCUUCUUGUGAACUUCUUAGUCCCAUCAUCCACCAAAGGUUCCAUGGUGUCUCCCAUCAAGGGGAUUUGUGGGAGAAUUUGAAGAGUUUGGGGGGAGGGGGGAUUUGUAAGUUUUGUUGGAUUUAAGAGGGGAGGAUGUUGUGAUCCAAUCAGAGGAUAACAAGUGUUGGAAUCGAGAGAGAAAAGAGGACUCAACUUUUCUUCUAUUUUCCAGGAAAAAGUUUUGGGAAAAAUCUAUCAGAAAAAUUAUUUUCUUUUUUUUCCUGGUUUUGACUGUACAUUACAAUUAUACAAUUAUUUUAUAAUAAUCAUUCUUAAUUGUGAAUUUCUGUCUAAAUCUGACGUUGGUCCUCAGAUCAAGCAGGCAUUGUUGAAAUUAUACCUGAAAAUUAAACGAUCUAAUCUAAUUUAUUUACAUUAUAUUAUUUUUUAUUAAAAAUGUAUCAAAAAAUGUUGAUUUUUUAAAAAAAAAAUUUACUGGACUAAGUUGAUCUUCAGAAAAAUUACGGGAUUAGGUCGAAAAAAUAAAAACACUUCCAGCUAGAAGCAUUUUCAGCGGAUUUACAGAGAAAUGCUUUUAGCUGGAAGCGUUUUCCAUAACAGCUACCCCACCCCAACGGUUAGAAAUCCAUCUCAAAGCCGUUUACCCCCUACGCUCUUUUCCUUUCCUAUAUAAACCCCCUAAAUUCUAUUCUUUUUCAAUUCAAUCUCAUCUCAACUUUCUCUCACAUUCUCAAUUUUCUCUCAAAUCUCUUUUAAAGUUCUCUCAAUUCUUUCUUGAUUCUCACUCAAUUUUUAUUCCUCUCUCAACUCUCUUUUUUUUUAUUAAAAUUUUAAUAAGGUUUUCUUAAAUUAAUUUUUUUCAUAUUUAUUGAAAUUAGUAAGGUCAAAGUCUCUAAUUCGCUUGGAUGACAAGCACAUUUCGGUCGAUUAAUUGCAAAUGGUAAGACGUUUUUUUACUAUAUUUAGUCUAAUUUAAUUUAAAUAUUUUGUUAUUAUACUAAAAUUUAAUAUUUUGUAUUUUUUAUAUAUAAUCGAAAGAUCAGAUUUUGGAGACAUAUAUUUGUAUUCUACUCGUUCCUCCAUCGUCUUUAAUCAAACCAUAUUUGAGAGAUGUGAGAUUUUUGCACGUAGCCCGUAUGGGUAGGGGGUGUAAAUUUGACCCUACACUUAUAAGCAUGUUGGUGGAAAGGUGGAGACUUGAGACACACACAUUCUAUCUUUCAUGCGGCGAGUGUAGUAUCACACUCAAGGACUUGCAGUUACAACUCGAGUUAUCGGUGGAUGGGUCGGUAGUGACUGGGUCAAUUGUCGCGGUCGAUUAGAAAAAUGUAUGCGCGCAACUUUUAGGAAGGGUCCCAGGCAUGAUUUAUGGAGCUUGGAUAGAUAUGAAUUGGUUGAAAAAAAAAUUGGUGGGCUCGAUGAGGAAUCGGAUGAAGUUUAAAGAGAACAACAUGCUCGGACGUACAUCCUUAUGAUCAUCGAGGGUCUCCUAAUACCUGAUAAAUCAUGAAAUCUUGUCAAUUUAAGGUAACUGCUAAAACUUGUAGACUUUAGAGAAGCGAGCAAACUUAGUUGGGGGUCAGCUGUAUGGGCAACAUUGUAUCAGGAGAUGUGUCGGGCGACAAAACCACAGAAAAUUAAAAUCGGUGGUUAUAUGCUACUGCUACAAUCAUUGGAGUGGUAUCGACUUCCAUUUUUACAUCCUCGAGCGGACUACCCUUAUACAUUCCCACUCAUAACAAGGUUAAAUUCAUUAGAGAAUAUAUUUAUCAUAAUAAAAUUAUUUAAAUUUUAAAUUAAUGUGUUAACAUAUUAUUUCAAUAGAUGGAACCAUGGGUCAAGUUAUGUGAGACUACCGGAGGAGCUUCAAGAUGUACAACUUAUGUCAGAUCAACGACCGGAAGUAGAGGUAUGUGUUUUUUAAAUUUGAAUUAUAUAAUAUUAACGUAUAUCUAAUUAAUAGUAUAUAUAAUUAAUUUUUUAUUAUUUUAAUAUAGUUUGAGUAUACGCCAUACUCCGAUAUGAGAAUUUAAGAAUGCAUCUCGUUUGAAUUCUUGGUGAAUCCCAACAUCUGGCACGUGAAGGUACCACUGGUAGUGUACACUACGGUGGAGAUACACGAAUUAGAUGUAGUUAUGCCACAGUUUAGGUUUAGGCAAAUGAUUCCGCCAACACCCUAAGACAUCGACAAUCUGCACCAUAUUGACUUGCGGGGGAGAAUCGAUGAAAUUGGCCUACAUUUCACGCGGAAUAUAUCAAUGUUUGGAACCAUAGGUAAAACUUUUUACCUACUCGCGAACUCAUUAUUUCUUGGGAGUUAGCCUACGAUUCAGAGUACAUGUCAUGGUUUAGACACCAUGACAAGCCAUAUCUACUAGCGGAAGAGACGAAGGGUAGGCAACGUUAUGAGAAGAGACCACGAUGAACGCCUGGGCAUCCAAGGUCUGGAACAGCUGUCGAGUUGGAUCCAUCAUCUACACCAAUGCAAGGACAUGCAUUGAUGACAUCACCACCCCCCGAUCAGUAUGGCUCGACUUAUUUUGAUGUUUUCACUAACCUCGUCAUUUUUAUAUAAGCACCACAUCUUGCACCAUAUUUGUUUGUUUCUACAUCGACUUCAAGUAUUAUUUUUAGACCACCACCUCCAUCACACGCAUAUUACACGUCGAUGCCAUCAACAUUUCAGACGACAACAAUUCUGACGGUGACGUAUAGGCCGUCUAUAUUUGGGGCACCGGCGGAAAGUCUGAUUAUUCAGCCAUCGGUGUAUGAGACACAAUAUGGUUAUACACCUAUGUUGAUGGUGUCACAAACACCUCCAGAAUCAUUGUUCCACCAAGGUGGACCAUCUUCACAACUAGUUGUGUAACAGCCCAUUUUUAGUGGUAUGUCAGAAACAGUGAUUUUAGGACCACAAUUUCGAUGAGUGAAUUAUUAUUUUGUUAUUUAUUUAAUGUCUACGAGAUUAUAUUAAGAUCGUAUUAAAGUUUUGUUAAGACAUUUUGAUGUUUAAACAGAUAAUUAGAUAAAAAGGACUAAAUUGUAAAAGGUGUAAAAGUUGAAUUGUAUUAGUUAAAGGGGUCAAAUGGCUAUGAAAUUUUAAUUUAAUGGACUUUAAUGAUAAAUAGACCAUUUAAUUAGUUAUUGGAUAGUUAUGGAUAAUUUUUUAUUGAAAAUUUGAUAAUUUUUAAAGGUUAAAAUGGUAAUUGAAUAAUUAAAAGAAAAUUUAAGUAAAGAAAGAUGAAACAAAGUCAUCAUCUUCUUUCUUUCAUUUUUUUUUCAACCAAAAAUCCAUGGGAGGAGAGCUUGAAGUUCCAGCUAGGGUUUAAUUUAUGCAUGUAAGUGAAUUCAAGCUCUGUUUUUAUUGAUUUUUAUGUUUUUGAGUUCGUUUUAGCUUAAUCUCGCUAGCCCGAGGAUUACUUUGCAAAAAUGUUAAAGAUUGAGGGAAUUUCCAUGGAUUUUUGAAUGAUUUUUGAUGUUAGUUGAUAGAUUAUGAAUCUUUAUUGUAAAAUAAACAUGUUUUGUUAAGUGAUUUUUGGUGAAAUUAUAUUUAGGGAUUAAAUUGUUAAAAGUAUAAAUUCAUGGAUUUUAUUGUGAAAUUUUGGUAAUAAUAGGUUGUUUCAAGGUCCCUUGUAACUUUGGUUAAGUUGGAUUUAGGUUAAAAUGGUUAGAUUUAAAGUUAUGAGCUUAUGGACUAAAUUGUGAAAAGUUAAAAUGUUAGGGGAAUUCAUAAUUUUUCAUAAAUAUGAAUUAUGGAUUAAAUUGAAUUAUAGAGGUACUUAAUUUAUUGAAAUUAUCAAUUUAGAUCAAGAUAAAUCACAAUCGGGCUUAAAUCGAGGAAAAGCUAAAGCUUCAGAUUAAUUUGACUUUACUUUUACGCCCUAAUUAUCAAGGUAAGUUCGUAUAAACUAUGAUCAUUUUAAUGUUAGUUAAAAUGACUAUUUGCUAUGUUUUUUUUUAAUAUAAAUGAAUCAAUAUGUAAAUGUAUCCAUGUUAUGAUGAAUUGACGGAUAACAAGUCCCGGUUGAACCUUAAGAAUUCUUACGAUACAAUUACAUGUCAUUAGAGAUUUCAUAUUUCGGGUGCUAGUCUUGAAUGUCCUACCAAUGGCUGAGGUCCUGCAUUUGUUGCGGAUUCUCCACAACUCAUGUGAGUAGCAUCGUGUAGCUUACAUUCCGACCUACAGCUCGUGUGAGCAUUGAUGUAAAGAAAAGGUUACGGUUAUAUGUAAAUGCACACUAUGUGUGAGCUUUUCUGAGUAUCUGAUGUAAUUCUAGAUGGUUGAACGGGUAAGAAAAGGAAAUGAAAUGGUAAGUAUGCAAAUGGAUUGAAUGAUGAUAUUAUGAAAAGAUUUAUGAGCUAAAGGAUGUUAUCUACAUAUAGAAAUUUACUUAUCUUAUGGUUGAAUUCAUUUGUAUCAUGAACAAGUGUACUAACUUGUGAAUUUGAUGAUGUUGUAUAGGCUUAAGCUAAGCUUAUGGUAUUGGUAAUGAUUUAUGCUUAAUCUAUGAAUUGUAAAAAUGACAUGGCAAGUUAUGUUUAAGUUUAUAUGAGCUUACUAAGCUUUCGUUGCUCACGUAGUUUCUUUCCUUUGUUUUGUAGAUUAUCGGAAGCUCGACCGGUUGAAAGCUCAUCGGAGACCUAUCACACUAUCCAACAACUAUUUCGAUAGAUUUUGUGUAUUUUGGCCAAGGUUAAUAAUGGCAUGUAUAAGGUCUUGUAAUGUAUGUUUUGGUGUGUUUAAGCUUUUGAAGUUGUGUUGGUUUGGUGCACUUUGAUGCCUUGCCAAAUUAUGUCAUUUUGGUCACUUUCAAGUGCUUGCAUUUAAAGUAUCUAUUGGUGUGUUUGUAGUGUUAUGAAAAAGGUCAAAUGUGGUGUUAUGUGGUAGCCAAGGAACUAAGCUUUUAUACUUGCAAUAUGGCAAUGUUGAAGUAUUUUGAUAAUUGAUGUUUUGGUACAAUUGUGGUGCCUUUGAAUGACAUAUUGGUUAGGUGAUUUAGGAUAUUUGAAAUGGUAUGUUUAUGUGUGUUUGGAUAGUGUUUGAAUCCCUUAAAUGUGUGUUCAAAUGGUUUGAAUGGUUAAUUAUGAAAUGGAUUUGAAAUGGCUUGUUUUUAGGUAAAUUUUGGGUUCACACGGCUUGGGACACAGGCUAUCACACGACUGUGUGACACACAUGGCCUAGUGACACGGCCGUGUGUUAUUUGAGAGUUUCUUAGUGCUUCAAGUUAUUGAGUUACACAGCCUAGCACACGGGCGUGUGGGGCAACUCAGUGAGUUACACAAGUGAGAACACGGGCUGGGACACGGCCGUGUGUCCCUUGUUCGAAUGUUACACGGCCUAAGGUGAUGUCACACGGCCAUGUGACCCCUGUUUUCUAAAUUUUGCAAUUUUUUCUUAAAACUUCUAUUUUAUUACAAAUUAGUCCUGAAUUGUUUCAAAGCUAUUUUUAGGGCCUCGAAGGCUCGAUUUAGGGACAAAAUGCAUGAGAUUGAAUGGUUUAUAAUAUGAGUUUAAUUUAUUUAAAUAUUACAAUGUUAAAUGUUUUCGAUUGUACGGUAAUGCUUCGAAACCCUAAUUCGGUGAUGGAGACGAGUUAGGGGUGUUACAAGUUGUUCCUAGAAUAGAAGAUACACGAUGGCAACCGAGGAGCACUCUGCAAUCAACUACGGAUGAAGGCGAAUAAUAUGAGAGGCUGAGACCACAACGUGUACUUGAAGGUAGACGUAACGAUAAAAAUGAGGAAGUCGGUAUAUAGCUUGGGUGAAGAAGAAAUAUGACUCGCAACUGACAACCACCCCGUUGUGGUACACAUAGGAGCGAACAGAACUUGAUUCGACUUGAAAAAAUAAAAAAAAAUGUUCAAAUUUCGAGUUAAAUGAAUCGAGUUGUUCGAGUCAACUCAAUUUUUUUUCAAAUUUCGAGUUCGAUUCGAGUUUAAUUUUCGAAUUUGAAUAAACUGAAUAUCAAAGUAUAAUAUUUUACAUUUUUACCCCAAGCUCUCAAACCUUUUUACUUUACCCCCUAAUACUUUUACUCCCUCCCACUUUCCCUUAAAACUUUUACUCCCCUCCCAUCUCACCCCCAUCUACCCGAAACCCAUUUUCCCCCCAUUUUUUUUUGAAUAUUCCCCCCAUUGACUUUCCCCCCAAAAUUUUACUCCCCCAACUCUCAACACUUUUUAUUUUACCCUUAAAUUUUUACUUUUCACCUUUUACCCCCAAAUAAAAAAUCAUACAAAAAAAUCUCUAAACUUAAAUAAUAAUUUUAUUUAUAUAUACUAUUUAUAUUAUUAAAUGAAAUUUUACAUUUUGUACUAUUUAUAUUAUUGAAUUGUUUAAUCAUAUUAAAUUUUUAUAAAUUUUUGUUAAAAUUGAAUUAUUGAUGAUGCCAUAAAAUAUUUGAGUUAAAAUUUUAUAUUGGUAUCAAUUUCAUAUUUUAUCUUUAAAAUAACUUUUAUUGAAAAAUUAAUUUUUUAUAUUUAAUAUAUUUUUUAAUUUCAAAAUACAUAGUGACAAAAAUCAGAAGAUAAUUGAAGCAACUAAGCAAGCAAAAAAGUUAACCCGUAUAUAAAAUAUUAAUAAAAAUUAUGAGGAGAUGAAAGUUAAUAACAAAUUUUAUUAUGGUGGGAAAAUUUGAUUACAGUGGUGACAGUGGUUAUAAGGACCCAAAGUCAUUUUUUUAAAUUUAACUUGAACAAAUAUAUUCGACACGAUUCAAAUUCCACUCACUCGACACGAUUCGAGAAAAUUUCAAAUUGAGUUAGGAUGAUAAAAUAGGAUUCGUCAAUUCGAUUAACUCGAAAUUUUUUCAUUCGAUUCGAUCGAACGCUCGCGCCUAGGUACACAUUCUGAUCGAGGAUAUGAAUGAUUUUUUUUUUGUACUUCUCAAGUAAAUUUUAAUUGUUUAGUUAAGUUAUAGUCGAUAAGAUUGUAACGAUAUUGGAUAUGAAAUGUUUUUAAAUAAAUAUCAUUUUAAAAUCAAAAUUGUUUUCAUUGUCAUUUUAUAUUGUAAAAUCAAGUCUACAUGAGAAAAAUGGAACAAAGUUGUAUAUUGUAUUUCUCUCUAUAGUAUAAUAAAAAUGCGUAUUUAAAAAUUACAAAAAAAUUUGAGUAUGAAUGAAAAAAUCAACAAAUAAGUUUCAGUUAAAAAAUUAAUAAAUCGGUUAAUGAGGUAUUGUCCUUAUAAUAUCUCAUCGGUGAGGACAUGACAAUAUUGUAUACCCUAGGUAGAUGUCGGUCGACCUUUUGGUUUGUAAUGCAAUGACUUAUUGGGUAACAACUUGAAUGGAGCGCUCGAUACCGGCAACCACAUACUUUUAUCUGGGGCCGAUGGGAAUACAUUUCUCCACAUGUUAUACAUGUGUUCUAGUUUAUCAUCAUGUAUUGUUUCAUCUACGAUAUGUACAUUUUGUCCAUAAAGCUUUGUGAUCUAAACUUACGGAGGAACAUGCUGCAAUUGCAAAAGCACAUGGGAAACGAAGUGCAUCAAAUCUCCCACAGUUGUAGGUCAGUUGUCUCCGAUGUACAUGGUACGCUCCCCCGACAAUACCUUGAUUGGGUCUGUCGAACUCUGUAACUCGAAACAAAAGGUCUUUGCAUGAGUGACACACUAGAUGCAUACAGUUCGCUCGUACUGUAGCCUUCCUAAUUUCUUUCAUAAUGUCCUUACACCAAACAUGGUAUUCCUUCAUCUGUCCAACAUAUUUUUUCAUUCCCUUUGGAAAAAGUUCUGCCAAAUGAAAAUAUGUUUCUUUCACAACCAAAGUUAUCGACAAAUGAUGUGUUCCCUUCAAUACAAAAUUGAUGCAUUCCACUAAGUUUGUCAUCAUGUGCCCAUAUCGUAAACCCUCGUCAUAUGAUUGUGUCUACUAAUUGAAGGGUAUGUUAGAGAGGUACCUUACCCCGACACUAUUAAUGGCCUGUAAGUUUUCCAACAUUUCAUGAAAAUGGUGUUUGACGAGCUCAUACCCUGUCGAGAAAAGUGAAUAGUUUAUUCAUAAUGCCCAACAUCUGCUAGCCAGUUAAAUAUUAAACAAUUGAAAUAGUGGCUAAUACAUACCCAUGUUAACCACUUGUGCGCUCUGAGCUUCAAAUUCGUACUAUCUGUGGUAGUUCAUCGCAACAUGUCUUAAACAAUAUUUAUGGUGUGUUCGGUCCCAAAGGCUUCUCUAUCAUUCAAUUGUGGCCAGUAUUCCAAGUCCCUUGUCAAAGAUGACACAUACAUCGAGUUGGGGGCAAACAUACCUCCUCAACCUAGACAAGAAGAAAUCUCAAAUCAUUUGCCUUCUUUGACGACAUUAUUGCAAAGAAAAUUGGCAGGAUUUUUUAUUUUCAUCCUAUGCCACAACCAACAACAACAAUCGAUACGUAUAUCUCCCGUUAAUAAAGAGACCGUCGAUUUGUACUAAUGGCUUGCAGUAUUGGAAUGCUUUUCGACAUUGCUUGAAAUCCCAGAAGAAAUGAUGGAACACUCGACAUCUAUGGACCAACCGAUUAUUAUAAUACACAGGCAUUAUUUGUAGAUCGGUUAACUCAUCCCACCCAUUAUGUAUCUUCUCCAAUGCCUUCUACUUUGCAAUCCAUGCCUUGUGGUAUGAUGGUGUGUAAUCGUACUAGCUACGGAUAUUUACAAUUAAAACCGACACAACAAUCAUUGGACUUGUUUUCACCAUAUUUAGUAUUAUUUUCAGGAUCAUCUCCGAACCCAAUUUCAGAUGAUCUUGUGAAAUACCUGCAACAACACGAGUAUGUUAAAAUUAGGAAUUCUACCCCAAAUAUAAGAAAAUCUUAACACAGUACCUAUGAUAACACACGUAUGCGGAACGAUAUAUUUUUUAUGGUCUAUAACCCAGUCUUCUUAUUAACAGAAACCAUGAUUUUCCAUGCACAUUUCGCUUUGAAUUUGUCAGAUCGGGAUUUAACAAAAUGGAAGUUUAUCCCAUUUUUUAAGUUGUAUCACUUCAUUACAGUGACAAAACCAUCUUUAAAGGAAAACUCCUUCCCCACUUCUAAAUCACCCGAAUUCAACAAAGAACUCGCAUAGCUCGAUCUUUUGUGUGGGAAUUUUACAAACUCCAAUCCAUCUUCUGCUAAAAGGUCCACAUUAUGCAUGUAGGUCGGUGGUGAGUACGUCAUGAACUGUGAAUCUUCUUCGACAUAUUCGCCCGGACCUUCACCAUCUGAACCUCCAUAUUUUAGUUUAGUUGGAACCAGCUUUGGGUCAGAAAAUAAUGCAAUUUCUAAACCAUCAGCCCCGGGCUCCCAGAUUGGAUUGGCAUCAGAUUCAGUGCCCUCUUCAUUCUCAGCCGCACCAGUAUCUCCGGGGUUGGAAAUCCCCUCGUCGGUGGAUGUCAUAGGGAGUACAUCAUCCCUUAUUGUAUAGUUCUCGAAACAACCAAACCACCUAUUGAUUACCAACCGUUGGAACUUGAUGUCAUUCUCCUAUAGGUGUUCCCAGUAUUAAACAUCGGCUGAUCGAAGCUGAAAUCAAAACCACUAACUGAGUGUCGCAUGGGGGUCCAGUAUUAUUGGUUACUGCCAAACCCUGUAAGAUUUCCCACUUUCAACUCUUACAAUUUCCCACUCACCCAUCAUAUAUCUCGGGAUUCUCGAGAUAAUAUUUUCUAAAAAAUUCUGAUCGACCUCAACCUCCCCUAAGCUAUAGGUGAUCAAAACUCAGUUACAUUCGAAAAAAUUGAAAAAAUUUACAAACUAAAAGUUAAUCGAAUUGAGUAGUUCAAGCUUUGAUUUUGAAUCGAAUUAAAUUUUACAAUUUGAAUAAUUCAAAUAUACGAUUGUUGUAAAUAUCAAAUUAAAUAAUGUUAACUUUACAAGUCAAAAAAAUAUAAAAAAGUCUAAAGAAUAUAUAAAAAAUUUUAAAAAUAUAAAAACCCCUAAAUCCUAAAACACUAAAACCUACAAAAUCUUAACCCUAAAUUACUUUAACAAAAAUCAAAAUCCUAACCCUAAAAAAAUAACCUUACCAAAAGAAAAAUGCUUCCAGCUGAAAGGUUUUCCUACAAAUCCAUUGAAAACGCUUUCAGUUGGAAGAGUUUUCGUAUUUUUGGCCUAAUCCCGUAAUUUUUCAAAAACCAGCCUAAUUCGAUAAUUUUUUUUAAAAAAAAUCGACAUUUUUUAGAACUUCAUUCUCUGUUGACAUCAUUACUGUUACAAUAAUUAAAAAAUAUAAGUUGGAGUGAGUUUAAAAGAAUAUUAUCUUUUAAUUUAAAAAUUAAUAAAAUUAUAGGUAGGUUACCACAAAGAUCCUUUUACUUCUUUUUGUUUUCUUUUCUUGUCAUUUUUAUGUGUUUUUUUAUGGCUAUUGGUAUCAAGGAUGUUUUCAACAUGGAAGUACUAUCAAUGAAACCGUAGAACUUGAGUUUGAGAUGUUGGACUUAAUUAGCAAUUGAAGUUAAAGUGAAUGAAAGGGAUUUGAGAACUUUCUUAGUUGGUUAUUAUUGAUUGUGUGAUAUCUAGAGCCCGCUUUUUACUAUUAUUAGUAUGGUUCCCUACCAAGUUUCAUGUUGGAUUAAUUGUUCUUUUAUGAGUAAAUUUUGAAGGUUCAAAUAUAUUUUAAGUCUUCAUACUUUUCAUGUGUUUAGAAGUUAGUCUUCAUAUUUUUAAUUUUAAGAAUUUAGUUCCUUUAUUUUUUAAAUUUAAAAAUUAAGAUUUAAUUGUUAAUACUAUCAAAUUCGAUGGAUUUCCGUUUUGAAAUUAAAAAAAAAACACUCACACGGUAACUAUGUAACAAAAAAAAAAACAUUGCAAUGAGCGUGAAUUUAACAGAUAAUUUUAAUGGUAUUAAUAACUCUUAAAAAUUACAUCGUCAUUUUAAUCGAAAUUAAGGUUUUUGGGCUAACUAAUAACAAUAAAAAAGUCAAGGUACCAAAUCAUAUCAAAAAGUUAAAAUAUAAAAAUUAAAUCUUAAAUUUAAGCAAGACCAAAAUAGAAAUUUAAUUAUUAUAUAAUUUAUAAAAAAAUAAACUUAUUCCAACUCAUCAUGCUAAAAGAAGUUUUUUGUUAGUAUUGUUUAAGAAAUCUAGGUCAAAAAACUAAUUAGAGUAGUCAACAAAAUUAACAAAUUGGACUAAAUAUUAUAAAAUUAAGACCAAAUUAUUGUAGAAUUUAUGAAUAAGAAUUAAAUCUUAAUUUUAGGUAUAAUAGAGGGAUGAAAAGUGAUAUUUGGCCAUUAUCCUAUGAAAGACAAAAAAAAAAAAUGAAAGUGGGAAGCAAGGAGAAGCCAAAAUUUUUUUUAAAGGGGCCGAAUGAAAUUUUAAUUUUUAAUAGUCUAUAUUUUUAUAAUUUUUAAAGAAUUAAAUCAAAUUUUUAUAAUUUUAGGGGGGCCAAAGUAUAAUAUUACUUUUACUAAUUUAAAAUUUUAAAAAUUUUUAAAGAGCCUAAAUAACAAAUUUCCUUUUAGGGGGGGUCGGGGCCCCUGCCAGCCCCCCUAGAUUCGCCUCUAGUGGGAAGGUUUAAAACGACCUUUGAGUUAUUGAUAAAGAGACUUUAGCUUAUUGAGAAGGAAUUAGAAGAUUAUGAAGUAGGAGAAAAUUUAUUUUUGUUUGUGUUUGANNNNNNNNNNNNNNNNNNNNNNNNNNNNNNNNNNNNNNNNNNNNNNNNNNNNNNNNNNNNNNNNNNNNNNNNNNNNNNNNNNNNNNNNNNNNNNNNNNNNNNNNNNNNNNNNNNNNNNNNNNNNNNNNNNNNNNNNNNNNNNNNNNNNNNNNNNNNNNNNNNNNNNNNNNUAAAUGGUUGACCCAAAUUCAUUUUAGUACACACUCAUAUUGUUUUUAAAAUCUUUUUUAAAAAUUUAUUUAUAAUAUUUUAAUUUAAUAUUUAAUUAUCUUAACAUUUUUUAUGUUUACAUUAUAGUAGUAUUAUAUAUUACUACAAAUUUAAUUUUUAUGUGUUAUAAAUUACAAAAAAUAUAUAAAAAUAACAUAAUAAUGAGGCCGGUCAAGCCGAGCUUAGGCCUUGAAUAUUCAAGUCCAAGCCCAAAGACAACUUAUAUUUUAAAUGAGAUUAUUAUUUUUUGUUCAAGCCUAUUUUUCGAAUUUAAUUUUUUACCUAAAUACUAUCAAAUUUUGAAUGGACCUUCAAGCGUUAUUCCAAUUUGACCCUAAUUUUUUUAAUCCUCAAUAUUACAUUUUGAGUCAAAUUAUUUUUUUUAAUAAAAAAAAUACAGAUUGAACCAUUAAAAUUUAACAGUGUUAACAUGACAAUUUGAGUAGAUAACGAUUAAAUGAUGUGGCAAAAACGAAAUGAAGAGUUGGCAUUGUAGUCGAGGAAGUGGAAAUCUAGAGUAAAGGAAUGAAAAGAAAAUAUAGAAGCUUCAUGCAAAUAAGAAGAAUAACCACAUUCAAAGUCUAUUGUGAGAAGGACGUACCAAUUUAUUAAAAUACAUUGUUAUGUAUAGAAAAUAGAGAAUGGUCUCUGUUAAGGAUCGGCCCGAUUAAGCAAUAAGUAACAAAAAUAGCAGAAUAAAUUAAGAAAUUAAACAUAUAAAUUUAACGUGAAAAAACCCCUCCAAAGAGGAUAAAAAAUUACGGGCAAAGAUAAUUUUACUAUAAUGGCAAAAGAACGAAGAGUACAAAAGAUGGAGAUAAAACUAAACCCAAAAAACUCGAAAACAAAAAACUCUCAAAACGUAAAUGUAAGAACCCAUUUUUGCCUGGACCCAUACUAGCAAAAUAAGCCCAAAUAAUAAAAACAAAAACAGUCCAUUUUCAGCAAAUUUAAGCACAAAACCCAAUUAUGCCAGCCCAAUACAACCCUAGCCCACAACAAAAACUUUCAGCAGCAAAGGGAGCAAACCCUAACCCUCUCCAGCGCCCGCAUGCACGCCCCUGCCCUUGGGCGCCGCUCCAACUCCCCGCACGCCGCCGCCGCACUUCACCACGCUCGUCUGGCACCUGCAAAGAAUUUAAUGCAAUAACAAAUGAAGAAGCACGCGGGCAAUAAUAGUAGUUAAUAGAUAAUAAGGAAGAGAAAAGCAUUUUGAUUCGGCUAUAAAAGCCCGAAUCUCACCGUUGUACUUUUUUUACGAACGCACAUCAAUUAAUCAAAAAUCAAAACACAGAUUUUAAAGGUUAAAAAUCUGAUCGUUUUCUUUUUUCUUUUUGUUUUUCUGUUUGCUGUUUUCUUUUUAUUCUUAUUAUUAUUUUUUGUUUUGUUCAUCUCUUUUACAAAUAGUUUUAACAAUAAAUAUAGAAUAGAAAGAAGGGGAAAGAAACGCACCUAGAUCACCGGUGGCUCCGUCGACGGAUGUCUUCUCGCCGUCGUCGGAAUCGGGUCUUGAAGUGGGUUUAAUGCUCCUUCGGUCCCUCGGAUUGGAAGCCUGACUCUCUGAUACGCCCCCAUUUUCUUCGCCGUUGGCCUUUGGUCACGGCGGCUCCAAGGCCGAAUUUUUUGGGAGAGUUGAGAGAAUGAGGGUUUAGUUUUUUAGAAAAAAAUGGUUGCAGGUGACAGAUUUUUGGGGUUUAAAU